UGGGCCGUCGAGCGGACCUUGCGGGGGUGGCCGUCGUCACAGUCCGAGGAGGCAGCCUCGUGGUAGGCAGCGGCAUGGCCGCCGUCGUGGAAGCAGGAGAAGAGGAGGGACGGGGAGGAUGAUCUGAGCUUGUGAUGGAAGAGCAUUUCGACGGCGAGAGCGAUGGGACUCGGAUUCUUGGUCUGGUCUGUGCAAGGCCGUGAAGAGAGCGGAGAGAGUGGAUGGAGAUGAGGAAGAAGAUGGAGAAGAGGAUAAGGUUGGAGGGUUUAUUUAUAGGUCGGGCGGAUGAGGACGGAGGCGUGCGGCGGCUGAGCAGAGUGGCGUGGUGGUGGGGGCGGUGGGGGUGGGAGUCAGGAGUCAGGAUGAGGAGGAAAGCCGCGGCUGCUUCGUGGGGUGGACGUGGAAAGCGGUUUUUUUUGGGUUAAUCCCGCGUAAGGUGUCGAUCUUUACUUUUUCUUCACUAUAAUUUUGGCAGUUUGGUAAUUACGCAAAAGACAAAGGGACCACGUAGCUGCUGCCUUUUUAUUUUUUAUUAUUUUUAAGAUCUCUCUUUUGUUUUACAAAAGUGGAAAUUUAAAUGACUCUUUUAUGGGUUCCAUCAUACGACCAUAUAUAUAUAGAUUGAGAGAGUAAACUGCAAGAUCGGAAUCGGGAGUUCAAAGCUGUGAAAAAUUAAUAUCCUGAAAAAUAUUUUCCUAACUUUAAUUGUUGUUAAUCGGUUAUAAAAAUAAUUAAUGAAAUGAAUUAACGAUUUAUAUCUAAACAUUUUUAUUGAUGAUGAGAAUAUUUUUUAUUAUCACUUUUCUUAGUGAUGUAAAAAAUUAAAAUUAGGAAAAUAUUUUUCAAAUUAUUAGUUUUUUUUUUUUGUGAAAAAAAAAAUGGAGUUUGGUCUUUUGAAGCAGCUACGGUGUGGGAAAGAUGAUUUAUAUGAAGACGGAGAAUCCAUACGCUUGGGAAUGUGAUGGAGACAAUUAGAUUGAGAAAGAAAAUCAACAAUUUUUAUUUUCAUUCAAUGUCUUGUAAAAUACUAACUUUGAGUCAUGUCAUGCAGUUCCUUUUGAGCGGAUAUGUGAUGUUUAAACCAGUUUGUUGGUAUGUUGAUGCAUCCCUUAAACAUAUGUUGAUGCACAAAUUGAUCCCAAGCUCAAGAAAGUGUGUUGCCUACAUUAUUUAACACACAUAGAAAAAUCAUUCAAUCAAUAAUUCAAACUGGGUUGCUUUGAUAAAAUUCUAUUUUCUUGUUAAAAAAUAAAUAGUCCAUUAUAUCUCAAGAUGAUAUGUGAAAGACUCAAAAUAAAGUAAAUCUCAACAACAAAACAGUAAAGCACAAAUAAUAGCAGUGCGUACACUAUCAUUCCAUAAAAAUGAAUAUAUGUCGAGCGUCGAAACAAAAUGAACAACGGCUAAUAUUUGAAGUCGGUAAGAACAAAUCAUUUUAUUCCCUACAUACCCUUACUGAUCUCCACUCAUCUCUUCAUGUGACACUAAGCUCUUCUUCCAAUGGUAGUUUCAUAGAUCUCCAAGCUGGUUUUCCCACAUACCUAGAAUUUGCUUUCUCUCUCUCUAGUUAUAAUAACCGAGAUGUCCCGUGGUGCAUGAACAAAAUGGGGGACGAUGAAUGUUCCCUAAUGCCCAGUAGCUACGGCAUAAUAUUCACUAAUUAAAAACGAUGGGGGCAGCCAUGCGUCGUGCUUGGUUUGGAUUUUAGUCAUUUACGAUCCGAGCGCCUCCUGUGACUCCUGGGUUCGUGCACUUCUCAAAGUGCGAAUCCACAUAUGAGAGCAUUCCACGUUAGUGGAGAUUGGAGUGAGCAUCCGAAGGAAAAUGGGUUCAUGCACCCAGCCAUCGGUUGCCCGCCGCCCGAUGUUUCCUCGCCCGACAUUUUGGUAUAGAUAAAUAGGCGAAACGUGGUGUUUUGUCUCUAGGGGUGUAUUCAAGUCGGGUCAGUCGACACGAUGAUUUUGAGAGCUCGGUUUGACUUGAUCUUUAAGUGUUUGAUGCUUGAAACUCUACUUGAGCUUGAUCGAGUAUUAAGAUUGAUGCUCAAGUUUAAUUUGACUGGAAAAAUCGAGAUACUAAAGCUUGGGUAAAUAAGUAGUAAACUUCACUUUUAUAAAUCAAAUAUGAUUACCAAAAGAGUCUAACUAUAUAACUAAUAGUUCAAUGAAAUAAGAUAUCUUUUUAGACAAAGCACGCUUUUCAAAUGCACAAAAGAAGUCAAUUUUCAGAUUAAGUCGAAUAUAUAUAAUAAUUAAGGGAUCCAAAGUCAUUUCUCAUGUCAUAGGCUAUGGUCACUUUUCGCCGAUGACAUAAAAACCUAAAAAUUGUAUUAAUUAUGAAUAUAACUUAUUCAUAUAAUAAUUCAGCCAAUCAUAUCAUAUAGAAAUAGAUUUAUAAUCCAUUUUAAUUAAUACCCGGCCAUGCAUAGUCCACUGUCCCCUAUCCACAAGAAAAGGAAGCUGCAUCCACGUUAUCCAUAAAGUAAAUUCAUUCAUCCCCAACAUAAUUUACUUCUUGUUGGCUCCCAUUUCAUUGACGCAACACCAAUCAGCAAAAAUGCUCGAAUAUGGCACGCUCCAGACAAAAAGUGAAAGCAAAAUGGAGAUGAAGAUGACAUAUCAACGCAGAUUUUCCAUAAAUUUGAUAUUUCAAAAUCUACAAUAUGUACAGUAAGACACUGUGGACCUAAUAGCCAAACUUGUCGAUCAAAAUCAAAAGAACUAGAGAAGAAAACUUCAGCUUGUGAAUGCUAGUAUAAACACCUAGAGGGGGUGAAUAGGUGUAAAAACCAAUUUUCGAGAUAAGUGUGCAGCACUAUUCAAUAAGGCUGCGUUUGGUCGUCCGGAUUUCUAAACGGGAUAGAACUGGAUAGGAUAGGAUAAGAAAUCUUCAUAUCUCAUCAACUGUUUGGUGAACUAUGGAUUUAAAGUCGGAUAUCCGCAUAUCCUAUCCAAUCUACUGUUUGGUGAACUACGGAUUUAAAAUCGGAUAUCCUCAAAUCUUAUCAAAUCUAUCGUUUGGUGAACUAUGGAUUUAUAUUCGGAUAUUUUAAAAACAAUAACAUUAGGCAAGUACAAAUUUGUAGGUUUAAUAUUCACAAAAUCAUCCAAAACAAUAUAUCGUUUUCAAAUUAACAGAUUCUCAUUGAAUUUCAUGAUUACGCAUCGUAAUAAUCUUUUCAAUUCCUUUGAAAUAAUCUUUUGGAUACCCCUUAAACAUCAAACGUUUUUAGAAUAACCUCAACUUCAAUAUAUUCACUUUGAAACAUGAAUUCUUUUGUCUCUCUUACAAGUUUUUCAUUUGUUUCCAUUUUGUUACAGGUCCAAUACCAAAUCAAACCAAUGCCCAAUUAGAACAAAGCAUAAAGUCCAAAGUUCAUUCACUUUUUUUCCUAGCUGUCACGAGGAUGCAAUGGCAAUUAAUCAUGUUAAUGAACAAUCUCUGAAAAUUUAAUGAUAGAGACAGCAUAGUACUUCAAAUUUAAAAUGAUAAAGUCAUAAUUCAAAUAUAAUAUAGGAAAUAUAUGUCUCAAUAAUGACAAACCAGCACCAUAUUACAUAUGUCUAAUAGAAAUGGAAAAAAAAAUCUUAUAAUGCAAGUCUUGCAACAAUGGAAAACAAAUGAUUUUUUUAAAAUAAUAUAAAAUCAUACAACUCCUCCAUGUCCUCGACUUGCAUUCCAUUCAUUAAACAUUUGUACUGCCAAAUUUUGCCUCCAUGUUGCCUAAUGAUCUGACGGCUCAACAACAUCGAUUGUUUCCACAUCUUCAAUAGUGGUAGCAGCUUCAUCUAACUGUGCCUCGAUUGGAUCAAUAGCCAUUUCUCUUCUUAUCAAGUUGUGCAGAAGGCAACAAGCUAUGAUUAUUCAACCUUGUGUUCUAAUUGGAAAGAUGGACUCCUAAGAAUAGCCCACCGUAACUUAAGUAGACCGAAGCAUCUUUCUAUGACAUUUCUAGCUUGAGAAUGCUUCAAGUUGAAGUACUCCUCGGGUGAAUUUGGUGUACGACCUUUUGUCCACUCAGAUAGAUGAUAUCGAGUACCUCUAUAAGGAGCAAGAAAGCCCUCCCCAUUUGUGUAUCCAACAUCUACAAGAUAAUAAUUACCUAAUAACAAACGAUGAUAUUAUUAGUUGUCUUAGAACCUUUAAAACCUACAAUACAUAGAAUGCAAUAUAUUGAUAUAGGCUUAUCUUACCAACGGGGAUCUUUAAACCAUUGGGUUUAACUAUAGCAUCUCGAAGCACUCUAGAAUCCUCUGUUGAGCCUUCCCAUCCAGGUAAAACAUAAACGAAUCUCAUGUCAAGUGAGCAAACUCCUAAUACAUUGGACGCAAUCUCACCCUUUCUAUUUCGGUACCUCGGUUUAUCAACCUCUGGAACACGUACCCUUAUAAAUGUGCCAUCUAAUGCUCCUAAGCAACCCUAGAAACAUAAAAUUAAUAAAAUAACAUUCUCUUUAAAGUAUUAAAUUAGUCCAUGAAAGAGCAUAACAAACAUAUCUUAAACCACUUCCAUCUCUCGUUGGCACAUUCCUCUGGAACUGGUUCAGGUGAGACAAGAAUCACAUUAUGCAUUCUUAUCACCGCAUUUAAAACUAAGUUAAAAUACCUACUUAUUGUCUCUCUAGACCUCAUAAAUCUGAACUUGAUGACUCGAUUUUUCACGUGAUGGGCAAGUAUAUGUAGAAACAUGGCCAUUUGUUCUUCUAUAGUUACAAGUCCAUCUUCUUUUAACCCACCAAUUGUACGUGCCAACUCGCAUAGUAGAGUAAAUGUACGCCUAUCCAUCCAAAGUUGUUCCACACAAUUCAAGUCAUUGCUUUUAAUGAGGCGGUCAAGGUGAUCUAAACGAGCUUGGACUCUAAUAAAUGUCCGAUCCUUCAAUAUAUGCUUGCGAUAGUGCCUUUCAGCAGCAGUGGACACUACUAGCAUAUACAUCAUACACAAAAGCAACAUUUGGAGGCUCAUUUCCUCUAAUAUAAGAAUGGUGAAAAUUUCCUCUCUAUCAUUGUGAUCCAUUUCUAAUGAGAAAAAAAAACAUUAGACAAGUACAAAUUAAUAGAUCCAGAUAUCUCUUUGGUAAUAAACAAAUAAUAAUCCUAUUGCCUACAUACAAUAUGGUCCCAACAGAUCACACGACCCAUUAAAAAUAGGAACUGACUACAUAUACAUAGGUAACAAUUUGUGCUGAAAACCAAACUCACACCACACAGCAUCAAUCAAACUAGCAUUGGUCUCCACAUCACACAACAGAGGAUGCCUAGCCUUAACUUACACUACUUCGACACCAAUUCAAACCAUAAACCAAAAUCCCGUGACAGCAAAGAUGAAGCCUUUCAACCAAAAUUGAACCCGUAAACCAAAACCCCAGCCACUCUCCAUAUCCCUUUAUAUAUCUAUUCCUAAAUAAAUUUAUAAUGGAACUCCAGCACAUGCUACAUGAAAAGGUCCCAACAUUGAAUCUAUCACAAGCUAAGAGUAAGGAGCAAAAUUUUCGAUCAAUGCUAGAAUGAAGAAAAAUAAGCCAACUUUUAGAAUAAUUUGCAGCACAUGCCCAUUCAAAAUUCCAAUCUAGAUUCAUAAAAAAAAAACCACCCAUAAAUUGUACAUACUUUUAGAAUAAUUUGCAUUAUAUGCACAUUCAAACUAUCAAAUCCAGAUCCAUAAAAAAAAACUACCCAUGGCUUCUACACUCUUCCCCCCCGGCCCACAACACCCAUCCAUCCAAUUUGGUCCAAUUACACAAGAAGGAACGCCACAAUACAAAUUGGUAUUUCAGUCAUUCUGAGCAAGGAUUUCAUCAAACCAAACACUUCAGGGAAAAUCCAGAAUAAGUCAGAAGACAAUCAUACUGUGUUCAUGGUCACUGUUGCUGGGAAAGGGCUUCGUGAAGAUGAAAAUCAAUGGCUCCUGGUCCUAGCUAGCGGAUUUGUCGGAGGGGUUGGUUGCUGGAGUCGCUCGGGACGACCGGGGGACAUUGAUCCUUGGGUUUGCAAAGAAGGUCGUGGUCUCCUCUGCUCUGCACACAAAAAAACUAGCCCUCAAAGAAGCGUCUGUCGCUAGUUGGGCGAGGAAAGGGAGAGAGAAUGAUUAUUUACCCUUGAAAAUUCGUCGCUUUCGUAAAAUUUCGAUGAGAAUCAGAGAGCUAUUGAGGAGAAGGCUUCAACGUCGAUACUUUGGAAACAUAGAGUCAUUUGUGGGUGAAUGACGGAGAAAGAAAAAAAAGCUUAGGGUUUUAUGUUUCGGAUAAAAGAAACCCUAUAUGACCUUAUCCCACCCCCCCUCGGAUUUUUUUUUUCCGGUCUAUAUUCCUUCUAUAUCCGACCUUAUCCUAUCCUAGACAGCUGCCAAACAUGGGAUAUGAUAAAACAUAUCCUAUCCUGGUUUUUAUCCUAUCUCGGUUUUUAUCCGAUCGACCAAACACGGCCUAAUAGAUUAUGAAAAUGAAAUUUGUUUCUUGUCAAUUGAACAAGUUACGAUCAAAGUAAAAGAGUGUAAGGAAGAGAAUUUGAACACAGAGUUUAUAGUGGUUCGGCUUGAUCCAAGCCUACGUCCACUUUUCCGCACUGAUAGCCCACCGGCUGGAUUUCACUAUGAACAAAAGAGUUGUUACAGUAAAGCUCUUCCUUGAUUCCACAAUGUAGAGACUCUACUACACUUCCUCAAGGUCUCUCAAAGAUAUAGACUCUCUUUUGCGUACAAGAUUUCGCUUAACAGUUUGACUAAGAACAAGGAGCUUCAGACUUUGGAAUUUUUUUUAUCGUGCAUACACUCGAACAACUGGAACGUCUUCCUUAUAUACUCAUUUAUGCCAUCAUACCCGUUGGCACUUACCAAAGGAAUUCUUUCAAUCUACCCGUUGGACAGAAUCAAUUAGAAAGAUCUUCGAGCUAUUUAGGGAACAUGACGAUAGCCCAUCAAUCCUGCUCGCCCAUACAAGCAAGAUCUCGGUUUCCAUAAGUAGAACCUUCCAAGUAUACUUCUCCAAUUAACAGAUCCAAAAUCCCUGAAUCAAUCUUGAUUUGAAUAAUGGAUUCCGACAUGCUAUAUCCAGCCAAGAGAUCUUUUCCAGUCGAUAGAGUCAAAUCCUUAACGAAACAUCUAGUUCUGGAUAAGCCUUCUUUGACGGUCUAGAAACUGUCAAUGAGGAUAGACUUUGAGUCUUGAGUUUGACAGUCCGGAGGUCUUCAGACUUUGAUGAAAGAGUCUGCAAGUCUUCAGACUAGACUGAUGGAAACGUUUUGUCAGCUUCAAUAUACUCAAGGAAGUUUUCUUCAACAAUCUCCCCUUUUUUGAUGGUGACAAAACUUUCCUGUAGAUUUGGAUAACUUUGACCUGCAAAACAUUACUCAAGCAAAUAUGGAUAUCUCACAAAGAUAAAUGGCUUAGUAAAAAUAACACUAGAGUCUGCAUCCACAGAAUGUAUGUUAGUCUUGUAGAUGAACAAAGCCAUGAGAUAUCAAUAGUACUUAAGAUAAAUAAAUGUUCAAACAGUCAAAUCCAAAUCCAGUUCAAAUCCAAAUAGUCAAACACAAAAGUCAAGUGAAUUAAAUAUAAUUGACACAAAAGUUAAAAAAGUUCAAAUCAAAUCUGCACCACAUCUCUCCCCCUUUUUGUCAUCAUUAAAAAGGUAGAGAUGAAAAGAGAAUGGAAUUAAGAAUGCUUGUGAACACGAACAAGUUGGAAAUCUCCCAUUGAUUGGACAAUCCCAUCUAGCUUUUUCAAAUCCUCCUUCAGUUGCGCCACAUCUUCACCCUUUGCAUUUGCUUGAACUUGAAGAUCAAGGGCUUGGAUUUGAUUAUUCAAAGAAACCGAAGAAGCUUUUCUUGCAUUCUGCAAGUUCUAUACUUCGCAUCCCAGAGCAUAUAUUUGACCCCGCAUCUCUAAGAGAACAUCAAGUAUUCUACGAAAGUCUGCUGAAUUAUUAGUUUGAGUACUUGCUUCUGCACAAUCAGAUGGUGUAUAGGCAGAUGAUGGCAAAUCAGCAUGGUCACGCAGAUUGGGCGAUGAAACAUCAUGUCCCUCCUCAGGAAAUUGAGAUGCAUAGAUGUCCUAUGGAUCUGUUGGAGAACGACUUAUUCCUUCACUGUUUGCAGGGAAUGAGGAUGUUCCUCUUUUCUCAGGAUCUCCCCCUGUUUCCAUGCCUUCAGGUGGAGAAAAGUGUUCCUCAUGCUCUGCUUCCGCUUGAUCUCCUCUCUCCUCUUCUUCUUAUUCCUCAAUUCUUUCCUCCUUUGCAUCUCUUUCCUCUGCUUCUCUCUCUUCUCUCUCUUCUGCUUCUCUCUCUCCAGUCCUCUGUUAUGUUUCAUCCAUUUCUUUUUCCUGUCUCUCCGUUGAUUUUGGAGCAGAACGACUCAAGUUCUUCAAUGCCAUUGCAGAAAUGGUGAUAUCAUCCUCAUCCUCUUCAUCCUCAAUGAUGAGAGCUCUUCUUUUCUUGGAUGGAGCAACCAUGGGCUCCUUCCCUUUCCUCUUUGCAGCCGAAGAGAUUUGAUGAGUCUUGACAGGGGUUUUCUCCUUGAAUUGCUCCAACGCCUUGUUGAGUUCCUUCAGAUGCAUUUUAGAGACCAUUUUUAGUCCUACCACCAUUUGAUCGCACAUUCGAACACAGAGAAUUCGGGGAGGCUGAACAUUCAGAUGUCUGAAUAACUUGGUCAUAAGAGCUGCGUACGGGAGUUGACCCUUGUCCUUCACCACUGCCCUGUACAUGUGGAACAUAAUAGUGUUUGGAAGAGAAAACUUUUUCCUAGCAUUGAUGGCAUACAUCGGCUUUGCCUCCGAGUUUGAAACAUCGGUCUUUGAAGUUGAUUUUGGUCUGAGGUAGUUAAUCAAAAUCUUGUGAAGCAUAAUGUUGAACGCAUUCAUCCUCAAAUAGGAAAUCUUUCCCUCUGUCCUUCUAUCCUUAACAAGUUCCAACGUUGCACGAGCAAUAGACACACUAAUAGGUUGAUAUCUCACUCUUUCAACCCCAAUCACAUCAGCUAAUGUAUUCAUGUCAACCACAUAGUCCUGAUCUCGAACACUAAAAGAGAAUCUAUUUGCAUCUAAGAAACUAAGAUUUGAAUAGAAAUAAGUAGUAAGUUCAGCAUAAGCUUAUGUACUUUCAGAACAAAACUGUUCGAGUUGAAGAAGACUGAAUUUUUCCCACAAAUUGACACUCACAAAGUCAAGAAAGUCAAAGUCCACACUUCUAAGGUUUAUCACCCCACGCUUCAGCAACUUAGAGUACAGUUGCUUGUGUUCCUCCGAUUGAAACAAAUCUAUCCUUUUGCUUCAGAUUUUUGCCGUAACACCCAUUCUCGGUUUAAACCGACUGAACAUCCUAUCAUCGUCAUUUCCAUCUGGCUGAAUCAGCCCUCCAAUGCAUGGAUUGCUUGGGAUAUUUGCCAAAGCCUCUUCUGCCGACCCAGCAGGGGCAAUUCCCAAUCGUUCCAUUGUGCGUAAAAAGAAAGUUUCAUUUUUGUACCUGUCUUUAAGAAAUUCAUCAAUGUAGUUCAAAGGAGUAGCACCCCUCUUCAAAGCACAAUAAAGCUUGUAGGUAAAAACAGGCUUAAGAGUUCUUACGGGUUCUACAUCUUCGAUGAUUUCUUUCUCUUCUCGAUGUGCAACAUCCUGAGGUUUAGAUGGAUGAGAUAGGCGCUGCUGAGAAUAUUGUGGGCUCUGCCGCUGUCCAGAAGAUUCUUCUUCCUUGGUGAGAUCAAAGUGCGUAGGCCCCUCAUGCAUUUGCUGUGGUCCCUGUUUGCAAUUCUUGAAGACUUUCUUUGGGACGACAUCUUUCACAGUCUUUGAGAGAUUCCAAGCUUGUUUUCCAAGAAAGAUGACAACUUUUCGAGGAUUAAACAAGAGAAAAAGACAGAAGUGGAAGAUCGGUGCUCUCUUAGGGUUUUUGUGAGUAAAACGAAGAGGAAUUGAUAGUAUAUAAGGUAGUCGAAACGAGGCAUACGAAACGCCGUAAAAAUGAAAUAAAAGAUGCCCUUUUUUUUAAAAAAAAAUAACUGCCUUUCAAAAUUAUAUAACUGUCAUUUCAAAAAUAAUUUUUUUAAAAGGAAAAAUUGCAAUAAUCACGGAAAUUGAAAAUAGCAACAAUCAAUUACGGGUUGAUGACCGUACCUUUUCGGGAUUUGAUUCGAGAGACAAUUUUCUAAAAUAAAAUUAACUCAUAGUUGAGAAUCUUGAUCGUUUGAGUCUGAGUGUCUUUAGACUUUCAAUCCUGGUUCUGAACUUCCUCAGACUUUAAGAUAUUAAGUCUGGAACGACUAAUUUCAAAUUGAUUUUUCUCCAAAGGCUUUGUAAAUUUAUCUGCCAGUUGAUUCUUUGAGUCAAUAAACUGAAUCGAAACGACUCCAAUUUGAACAUGAUCUCUAAUGAAGUGAUGUCGAAUCUCUAUAUAUUUUGCUCUUGAGUGAAGAAUCGGAUUCUUGGUGAGAUUGAUUGCGCUGGUGUUGUCACAUUUCAUUUCAGUGUAUGAAUCUUCGAUUCCAAAGUCUCUUAACUGUUGUUUUAUCUACAGAAUUUGUGAACAACAACUUCCAAGAGCUACAUACUCUGCUUCUGCUGUAGAAAGAGCUACUGUACUUUGCUUCCUUGAAAACCAAGAUACCGUUAUGCUUCCAAGUAGUUGACAGGUGCUCGAGGUGCUCUUUCUAUCAACUCUGCAUCUGGCUAAGUCUGCGUCUGAGUAUCUAAGAAGAGUAAAGUCUCCUUCUUUGGGAUACCAGAGACCAAAGUUUGAAGUUGAGGCAAUGUAUUUGAUAAUACGCUUUGCAGCACUUAGAUGAGAUUCUUUAGGGUCUGUGGUAGGUUAGAAACGUUUCCAUCCUGGAAUCUUUGGAUGUCUUUAGGCUCUAAACUAAAGGGCUAAGUGAUUUUCUGCUAAAAGGCUGUCCCUGAAGGGCUUGAACGAGAGUUGUUCGCCCACUGUGGGAUGCAUACUUGUAGGAAAUUUACUCUCCUUCCUUGGUUCUAAGCCUAGGUCCAUUCAUGGUAUCAGAGCGAAUGGUUUCGUUUGUAAUGUUAUCCAUUCCAUGCGCUUGGUAGGUGAAUCCAGUGUUGAGAAGAUCUCCUUACAUCAUGUCUACAGAACCAGAAAUUCUCAAAGCACCCGUUUCCCUUGCUCCUUCUCCUUCAUCUUCAACUCCCCCAGAAUUUCGUGUUUCCAAUGCCUCUAAGAUAGAUUAUCUUUAUGAAGUCUCUCUUAGUGAUGAAACCAAGAUUUCUGAAACUCAACUUCCUCUCAUGAACCCUUACUCCGCUUUUGCCAAUCUUAACUCAUCAUUCUCACAUAUCCGCUCCAUCCGCCAACUUAUUCACCAAACCCCAAAGCAAGUAAAGGAGUAUGUCAAAUCCUCCAAAUUCGAUCAGUAUCCCAUUCCUGCCACUGAAAAAGAGUAUUUUAUUACUCUUCAAAUCCCUCCAGAGUUCCCCAGACAAUGGGCUCAAUAGGGAUAUACUCAUGUCCAUUAUGGAGUUGUUCGUCUUGCUCUUACCUUUCAUGGUCGUAAAGGUUUGUCAGUUGUGGCAAGAAUAGCAUUGUUGGAUACCAGGUUUUUACAAUACCAGCAUGCUUGCAUCGGUAUUGUCCAAACUACUUUGAAUGCUGGAAUAGUCUUUGUGACUUUGUAUCCAAAUUCCAACAUUGCUCUUUCAGACCCCCAACUACUCUCUUUUCUAAAAGUCCAAGUCCAGCUCACUGGAGCUCCUCAAACUGCUGAAUCUGUAGCUGCAACUCUACAUUACCAGAUGGUUUAUCGAGUGCAGAACCAUGCACUUGACCUCAACUUCAACAAUGGUAAUGAAUAUGCUUUGUUCAUCUCUAUGUAGAAUGACCAGGCAUCCUGUAUCCAUGUUCCCAGACAGAUCCCGAAGGAUACAUUGGCCAAGCUCCUUCCAGAGACCUAGAUCACCAACUACGAAAAGCUACACCAGCAUAACAAGCCUUUCCAGUCUACGAACUCAGAGUUCGUACGAAAAAAAGAUGGAACUGUUUCCAUCAAAUUUGGCAAGGAAAAUGAAGAAAGCCCUUCUAUCUUCCAGACCCUCUUCAUGAUUGAACCAUGUGUUCCUCAAUCAAUUUCCGAGCCAGAUCCAAAAAAGCUUGUUAGACACUUUAAUGGUGAUGGACAUCCUGUCCAUUACUACAAAGACAACCAUGAUCAUUGUUUUUGGGAUCCUUUUUGCCAAUGUUCCUAUUGUACAAAAUCUCCCGACGAGGUAGAUCCUUUUGCAAAAUCUCCACCUCGAAGGAAAAGGCCAAAGGAUAAGGUGUACCAAAAAUACUUAAACGGAGAUCCAUCCAUUGAUACUCUUGGUGAGUGUGAUAAAUACCAGUUCAUGGUUUCCUAUGCACCACCUCAACCACCAAAGUACAGUGCUACAUCCCAAGCCUUACCAGAUCCACCAAAAUCACCCCCACCAUCUCCUCCUCAGAAAAAACAAGCUCUCUCUCCGUUUUAUAAGCCAACCCUAAAAUGGGCUAAGAAGCAUUCUUACCCACUUGAAGCCCCAGCGGAAAUACUACCCACUUCUUCCAUUGCCAUGUUCCAUGAUGCUGAUUUUCCCCCUCUCGUCAGAGAAAAUUCUAAACUAUCAUUUCCUGCUCCCGAGGAAUUCAUUGACCCACAAAACAGAUAUCGUCAUGCUCCAAAGAUAGCAACCCCUACUGAUGUGGAUGAACAUGAGAGACAGAGAAAGACUCCUGCUGCUGAAGCUGUUCUAAAUUGGCAAUCAGAGACUCUGUUGGCACAAAACAAUGCCUUUAAGGCAAUUGAUUCCAAAAUUGGAAAUGUGCAACAAGAUCUUCAAGGUAUGAUGAAAGCACCAAAAAGAUACUUUCUGAGUUCCAGAAAAGGCUUCAUGCCUUGGAAUCAGGAUAGUAUCUUGGGUAUCAUUAUCUUGAAAGUCCAAAGCCAGAAAUAGAAAAGCUCAAGAGGCAAAUCCAACUUCUUGAAGAAGGAAGGUUUAGACCUUUCGAUCCAUUGGCACCUUAUGUUAGAACUGGGUAUUUACCUCCACCGCCACAGACAUCUAUUUUUGCCACUAUUCCAGAAGAUCCCUGCAGAAGAGAACCCGACAUGGCAGAAAUACGAAAUCGUCUCAAGGCCCUACAGAAGGACAACGGAAAAGAAAAAAAUGCCGCCUACAGAAUCAAGUUCGAUUGUUAUAAGAGAAAGAUCAGAACAUAUGAUGUUAUCCAACCCAUUAGAAUCCUUUCUAAAGGAUUUGGGUACUCAGGAACCUGAACCUGCUACUCAACAACCUGAUCUUGUCAUUCCAGAAAAGUAGAUCCUAUUCCCAGUUGAGCAUACUACUCCUGAGACUGAAUCAGAUUCAGUAUCUCUUUCCUCUUCUUCAUCUUUCUCCAUUCCUACAGUUGAUUCUCUCCUUAUUGCCCCAGUAACUUCAUCAGUAUUCAUGGAUGAUCCUUCUGAUGAUGAAAUGGAAUCAGACUAUUAUGAGCCAGAAAAUGUUCAGACAAACAAUUAUGCUCAGCAUGUGUCCAUAGCAUCAAAACAGUUCUUCAUUAUCGAUGAUAUUUCUUAUCAUAAAUGGCCACAAAGACUUGAAGACUUUCAUACUUGGUUGAAUACUCAGUCCAUUACCAACCAUGAUAUGAAUGAUGUCCUUUACAACUUUGUUACAAGGUUCAUGGGCAGCCUCAAACUUUGGUGGCAAUCAAUUUUUGAACAGGACCAGAUUCAUUUCCUGAUGUCACCAAAUUUCGGCCAUGCCAUCACUCUCUUAUACCAUGUCUUUGUGGGAAAACCCACUGAUCUCAUAGAGAUGAAAAGAAGAGAAUUUUUCGAAAGAAAAUGCUGCUCCCUCUAGAAGAAGCAUCUUGAUAAGCAUUAUCGAGUGAUGCUUCAGCUUUUUUACCAAAUUGGCGCAUAUCCAAAUUUAAAGCAUGUUUUCCUUACUUCCAUCCCUAAGGAACUAUCCCAGAUGGUUGAAAGAUCUUUCUUUGGAAAACAAAGGAGAGUACAAGAUAUUCCCUUGGUAGAAAUACAGCAAGAAGUCCAUCUAUGCCUAGAAGAAUUAUGCUUAAAGCGCUAGAUGGUCCGUACAUACAUCAAAGAUGACAAACGCCUUGAAUCAGCUUGCUCUCGCCAGAAAUUAAAAAUCAAAUGUUCUAAGCAAGACUGUGAUGGUACUUGUGGCAAGUACUCUUGGAAAAAGAAACAUUACAAGAAGUUUUGGAUAAACAAAUCCAAACAUGGUUCCAAGCAUUUCUGGAAAAAGAAGAAAUGACGAUACCUAUGCAAAAGGAAGGAUCGCACAUGCCACAAGAAAUCAAACCGUUGCUACAUCUGCAACCAAAAAGGACAUUUUGCCAAAAAUUGUCCUCAAGCAAGAAAAUGCCAGAAUCGUCUAAUUCAUCACAUUAAGAAUGAAACAGGUAUUUCUUUUGAAAAUGAUGAUAUUGAAUCCCUAUUCUCUGCUGACGAAGAACCAUCUGAACAAACUCUUUGUGUCAUUUCCUCUUACCAAACUUCCAGUGAGACUGAGUUAGACUCAGAAUUUGAAGAUAUUUUUCAUAUAUCAUCCUCAUCCCUAGAACCUAACUUUGACAUAUUUUCAAGUCAAACUCAUUGUCCCAAUUUCCCUAUAAAAAUCCUCACUUCAAAGUUUGCCAAACCCAUCACUGUUAUCGCCCUCAUUGACACAGGAGCAAGUUGUUCAAUAUUGGACACUAAAGUUUUCUUGAAGAAUUCUGGACUCCUUACAUCCGAUAUUUCAAUUAUGCCUUAGGAGAUACUUUCUCCACAAAUGUCAGAACCACUCCCGUAACAGUCCAGUUCUUCCCUCAGUGUUCUAUAACCACAAAAAUCUUUGGAUCAAGCCUCCCCAAUAAAGACCUGAUAAUUGGGUGGGAUAUCAUGACUCAAAUCUCUCAACUCCGUAUCAUUCCUAGAAAAAGGUCUUAGAUAUAAAGACCAAUUCUCUGAGUUCGUCAAUAUUCAGAGACUCUUUUCCAUUCAGAUGAGUCUAUUAGAUCCAAUCAUGCAAAAGUUGUUAGAAUCUUGUUCAGAAUCCCAUUUAGAAUUCGCCCAGAAAUGUUCCCAUCCUUUAUGGAAAAAUCCAGAAUUCUUUGUUCGAUUUCCCUUCAAGAAGAAUGAAGAUAUAAAUCCAACUAAGGCAGCCACAUGGGAAUGAAACCAGAACAUUUGGCGUUAGCUCAAAGGGAAUGCUCAGAAUUAUUGCAACAAGGCCUUAUUGAAAUCUCUGAUUCUCAAUGGGCCUGCGAAGCCUUUUAUGUCAAUAAGUGUGCUAAGCAAAACAGGGGAAAAAUGAGUUUGGUAAUCAACUAUCAACCUCUUAACCUUUUUCUCUAAGAUGAUAAAUUCCCUUUACCAUCCAGAGACUCUCUUUUUACUAGUCUAACCAAGGCCCAUAUCUAUUCCAAAUUCGACCUCAAAGCUGGAUUUUGGCAAUUGGGCAUACAUCCUGAAGACAAAACUAAGAUAGGAUUCUGUAUCCCAAACCAGCACUUCUAGUGGAAAAUACUUCCUUUUGGCUUAAAGGUAGCACCAUCCCUUUUCCAAAAGGCCAUGUGCCGUAUUUUCCAACCAAUCAUGUCAAAUGCAGCCGUGUACAUUGAUGACAUUCUGCUCUACAGUCCUGACGAGCAGUCACAUUGCCAACUCCUUGAGCAAUUCGCAGAAAUCGUCAAAAAGCAUGGCAUUAUGCUUUCUCAAAGGAAAAUGAAUAUUGCCCAAAAAGAGAUUGAAUUUCUUGGUAUGCACCUCAACAAAGGUAUGUACUACCCAGGGCCACAUAUUGCUCAAGAAUUAUUGAAGUUUCCUGAAGAUAACUUCACUACAAAACAAGUUCAGCAAUUUCUUGGGAUAAUCAAUUAUCUUAGGGAUUUUUCCCAAACAUUGCAAAGCUCCUGAUUCCUUUGCAAUCCAUGCUAAAGAAGAAUCCCCCACCUUGGGGAAAAACCCAGACUAAAGCAGUUGCUGAGCUUAAGGAGAUUAUGCAGAAUCUCCCACAAUUGCAAAUACCAUCAACAGGAAAAAUAAUUCUUCAAACUGACGCCAGUGAUGAAUACUGGGCAGCCAUCCUGUUCGAAGAAAUUGAUGGUAAGAGACACCUUUGUGCUCAUAAAAGUGGAAAGUUUUCUCCAGCUGAAAUGCAUUAUCUUUCCACUUUUAAAGAAAUCUUAGCAGUAAAGAAUGGAAUAAAAAAGUUUGAGUUUCAUCUCAUCGGCCAUCACUUCCUAGUAGAAUUAGACAUGGCAUCUUUCCCUCAGAUAACUAAGUUUAAACAGAAGCAGAUUCCAAAUUCCCAACUACUUCGAUGGGUUGAAUGGUUCUCAAAAUACUCCUUUGAAACCAAACAUAUUCCUGGAAAGAAGAAUGUGCUUGCUGACUUCUUAUCAAGACCAAAAGCACCAGCCGAAAUCAACAUGUACAUCAAGAGGCCUGCUUUCCAUAUGCUCAAUCAUGGAGUGAAAUACAAGAUUGAGAAGAUCAAAGAUUUGCAAAGAUGGAAAUAUCCCCAGGAGAUUAUUCAGCAAAUCCAGAAUGACAGCCUCAUUGAGAACUUGGAGAAUCUCAUGUGGUAAUGCCACACAGAUCUAUUCAGAUUCAAUGGAGGUUCGAUUCUUUAUCCUUUUGGGUUAAAUAUGAAUUAUCCAUUCAUUCAUCCUCUUAUUUGGAAGGAAGAUGAUUUUCCUGAACAGCUCAAGACGUUAUUGUGGUACUUAACCAAUAAAUACUUGAUAGCCAUUGAAAUUCCAACCAGAAGGUUCAUUGCCAACCUCACCAGGAUAUUCUUACUUGGAAGAAAUGUUGAAAAAGAAAGUGAUAAGAAUCUCUUAGACUUUUUUAACUGGUUCUAUUCUCCUACUUACUGGAAACAACUCUUGGAAAAGGAACUGAGAACCAUGACACUGAAUCCUAAAGUCCAUACCAUCCUAUUUUUCAGACGUCCAUGGCAUUUUUUCACAAAUAAUGGAAGAAUCAUUGACGUCCCACAGGAAAUAGGAACCACAUCCUAUAAACCUCACUUGGACAGCCGAGAAGCUCAGAUUCACAAAUCUUAUCCAAGAUCUGUUAGAUUUUGUGAACACGAAUACCGAAAACUUCAGAGAAUCCUGUGCUAGGAAAAAAAACCAUUCCCGAAGAUGUUUGGAAUAAUGCACCCACUACGUAGGAUCAUUAUGACCUAGCACCAGAAGCUAAGGAAGCACUCGGACAAUACAGACAAGCUGCAUCGUCCCAAGGGCAUGAAAUGACAAGCGAAGAUGACAUUGUCAAAUCCACCUAGGACCCCUAUGCACGCUUUGGAGGUCCUCUGUCCCAGGAUCCCUACGAAUAGGGACCUUCGUCCUUAUUUCAAAGCAUGAACACAUCUUUCUAUGCACAACCAUCCAAUCGGCCUCAGCCAAGAAUUUCUGCCGACACUCAAGAAAAUGAAAACACAAACUGGGUUGAAGAAGAAGCAUCACAUUGGGCUCAUGAAGAAGCAUCAUCAUCACGAAGGCUGAACCAAAUCCUUUCACUUGAAGACCUUGAAGCCCUUGAACAGAAAUACGAAGCACAUCUCCUAUAAGACAGCUAAGAUAAUUUAGUCUGUAGCUACAAUGCUCGAAACGGACGAGACCGUUGAAGUCAGUACAUUUUCACUGUAGCAAGUCACUGUUCACUUUUACUGUAGCAUUAGGCUAGGGAAGGUACUCUUCAUAGUACAAUUACUAUUCAUAGUGUGCGAAUAAUUCCCUCCUGGAAGUUUCCGGUGCCUUUGUUUGUAUCUGGACUCGUGAGCUAGGUCCUUGUUUGUUGCUUUGUGACCUCUAAUCAUCUAUAAAGGGCAAGGAAGGUGUAUUGUGUUGGGCAGAGUCCCUUGAAGUAAAGUGUGUGCAUUGUGAAAAACCUCUCAAUGGCUUUCUAAAUUUCUCUUCUUCUCGAGCCCGGUAGGAUCCUCCAAGAAAUGUAGCUUGGGUAGGUUAGAAAUGUUUCCAUCCUGGAAUCUUUGGAUGUCUCUAAGCUCUAAACUAAAGGGCUGAGUGAUUUUUUGCUAAAAGGCUGUCCCUGAAGGGCUUGAACGGGAGUUGUUCGCCCACUGUGGGAUGCAUACCUGCAGGAAAUUUACUCUCCUUCCCUGGUUCUAAGCCUAGGUCCAUUUAAACACUAAACAAAAUGUCUUGUCUAGAAGCAGUAAGAUAAAGAAGUGAACCAAUGAUACUCUUGUAUAGCUUCUGGUCAACUUUAUUUCCUCCUUCAUCUUUGUCCAACUUCAAGGAACUUGACAUUGGUAUAUCAGUCUUUUUGCAAUUCUCCAGCCCAAACUUUUUGACAAGAUCAUUGGCAUAUUUUUCUUGAUGAAUAAAAGUUCAUUCCUUUAGUUGUUUCACUUGAAGUCCGAGAAAGAAGGUUAAUUCACUCAUCAUGCUCAUUUCAAAUUCAUCCUGCAUAGACUUAGAAAAUUUCUUGCAUAGACUUUCAUUAGAAGAUCCAAAAAUAAUAUCAUCAACAUAAAUUUGAACAGGUAGAAAAUGUUUGCUUUCUCUUUUGAUAAAUAGAGUAGUAUCUACUUUACCUUUGACAAAACCAUUUUGAAUUAAAAACUUGCUUAAUCUGUUGUACCAAGCUCGAGGUACUUGCUUUAAACCAUAUAAAGCCUUUUUCAAUCUGAAUACAGAGUCCGGUUUCCUUGGGUCUUCAAAAUCGGGUGGUUGUUCCACAUAGACUUCCUCUUGGAUAAAUUCGUUUAGAAAAACACUUUUGACGUCCAUUUGGAAUAACCUGAAAUUCUUAUGACAAGCAAAAGCAAGUAAUAAUCUAAUUGCUUUAACCUUGUUACUGGUGCGUAAGUCUCAUCAUAAUCUAUCCCUUCUUUUUGCGUAUAUCCCUUGGCCACGAGUCUUGCUUUGUUUCUUACGACCUUUCCUUUCUCGUUCAUCUUGUUCCUGAAAACCCAUUUAGCUCCAAUGAUAGAUUUACCUUUCAGUUUAGGAGUCAAUUCCCAGACAUCAUUGAUACUGAAUUGCCUAAGUUCUUCUUGCAUAGCUUCAAUCCAGCUUUCAUUAGUUAAAGCUUCUUCUAUGCUCUUGGGUUCUAUUUCAGAAAUAAGAGCCACAUCACUAGACUCUUCGCGCCUUUUGGAUCUUGUGCGAAUUCCUUCAUUAAUAUCACUAAUAAUGAGAUCUUUGGGAUGACUGGACUUAUGCUUCCAGUUGCUGGUUGCUUUGUCAGACUGUUGAUCUUUUUCCUCGUUCGAAUCUUCGACGAUCAUUUGUUGCUGGUCUUCUGAAGUCUGAGUUGCUUCUAAAGAUUUAGACUUUGUAAAGUCUGGAGUAGGUUCGGAUUCUUCAAGUUGAGUCUGAAUCGAUUCAUUUUGCAUAGAGUCUUGAAAUUUGACAUUCAUUGAUUCCUCCACAAAUUGAGUCUUCUUGUUGUAGACUCUGUAAGCUUUGCUUGUGAUAGAAUAUCCAAGGAAAAUUCAUUCAUUUGAUUUUUCUUCAAACUUACCAACUCGAUCAUUUGCAUUUUUCAAUAUAAAACAUUUACAUCCAAACACAUGAAAAUAUGAAACAAUGGGCUUCUUUCCUUUGAAUAACUCGUAGGGAGUUUUCUCCAGAAUAGGCCUUAGAAAAACUCUAUUAAUAAUAUAACAUGCUGUAGAAACAGCUUUAGCCCAAAAACGUGAAGAGAUGUUACUUUCAAUUAAAAGAGUUCUAGUCAUUUCUUGAAGCAACCGAUUCUUUCUUUCCACGACUCCAUUUUGCUCUGGAGUAUAUGGAGAGGAGAACACAUGUUGAAAACUAGAUUCAUCAUAGAGUUUUAUAAAGUCUUGAUUUUCAAAUUCACCUCAAUGGUCUGUCCAUAUACUUGAAAUAACAUAUCCUUUCUCAUUUUGGACCUUUUUAGCAAACUUUUUGAAAUAAGAAAAGGUUUCAGAUUUACUUGCCAGGAAAUAUACCCAAGUGAAUCGGGAAUAAUCGUCCACAAUUACUGGGCAGUAUUUCUUAUCUCAAAUGCUCUGAGUUCUGGUUGGUCCAAAGAGAUCCAUAUGCAAAAGCUGCAGUACACGAUUAGUUGAAACUUGAUUUAUUGGUUUGAAUGAGUUUCUUAAUUUUUUUCCCAACACGCAUGAUGUGCAUAGAUCAGUCUUUUGGUAUGAAAAAUUGGGUAGACUACGAACAAGCUUCUUUGCUGAAAUUUUGGCUAUUUGCUUCAUGUUGAUGUGCCCAAAUUUUCUGUGCCAUAAGUUUGCUUCUUCUUGAAUUGAGAUCAGACAUUGGGCUUCAUCUGAUUUGACAUCCAAGAGGUAAAUAUUUCCAUGUCUUCGACCAGUGAAAGACUGAGAGGAGUCUUUACUGGUUCCUCAACAUAUUCCUUCUUGAAAGUUGAUUUUGAAACCAGUGUCGCACAGCUGACUGAUACUUAACAAAUUGUAAUUGAGUCCUUCCACUAAGGAAACAUUACUGAUCGUGAGACUUCCAAUCUUUACAGUUACGUAUCCCACAAUUUUUCCUUUGCUGUUUCCUCUAAAUAAAACUUUUCCACCAUUAACUUGGACAAGUUUUAUGAAGCAAUUUGAAUCUACUGUCAUAUGCCUCGAGCAUCAACUAUCCAGGUACCAUUUAAUCUUUUUCUUGAUAGUGACCUGCAUUUAGAAAAGGAACUCAUGCUUUCUUUGGUACCCAUAUUUUCUUGGGUCCAUUGGUGUUAGUAUUAUAUACGGUCUUUGCCCAUACUUUCUUAACAUGUUUCCAAACCAUAGGACAUUCUUUCUCAAAAUGAUCUGAACUAUUGCACUUAGAAUAUUUAAGAGCAUUACGAUCUACUGGUUUUACAAAAAAUUUUUGGAAAUGAUUUUUGUAAGUAUCUCUUGUAGGUCUUUGCUUAAUUCUUUCCUUUACUUUAGGAAAAUCAAUUAAAGGGUUGGUUUCUGCAGUCAUUCCCAAACCAGAUUUAUUGAAAUAAGGUCUUUGUGCAGAAGAGUCCCAACCAAUUCAUCUUCAUUAGAUUUUAAUGCAAUGGAUUUUUUUUACCUUUAGGAUCUUCAUCUUCAUUGAUUUGCUUCACUUCAUAAGACUGAAGAUUCCCAACCAAUUCAUCAACAGAGAGUGGCAUGAUUCUUUAUGUCUCCCUUAUUGAGGUCUUUAUGUGAUUCCAAUCCUUGGAGAGUCCACAGAGUAGCUUGUUUACUUUCAUGGGAUCAGAAAUUGGUUGACCUUGAUUUUUAAGACCAUUCAUGAUUUCUGUAAAAUGACUAAACAUGUCAAUGAUAGAUUCUCCUGAUUUCAUUUUGAAUGCUUCGUAUUGACUGAGCAGAAUGUUGAUUCUGGUUUCUUUCACUCGAUCAGUUCCUUCAUAAGUGAUGUGUAAUCUAUCCCAGACUUCUUUAGCUGUAACACAAGAAGAUAUUCUGUUAUAUUCAGUAGGUGAUAAUGCACAAUAUAAAGAAUAAAUUGCUUUUGCAUCAAGAGCUUGUCUCUUGGUUAUCUCUUCAUGAGUCAUUUCGCUAGACUCAAUGGCUUCUUUUCCUCUUUCUAAGAUAUGUGUAGCUUUAUGAAUGAUUCAUUUGUCUACCACAUCUCAUUCCAGAGGAUUCUUUGAUCUUAGAAAUGCCUUCAUCUUGUUUUCCAUAAGUUGUAUUCCUUUCCAUCAAAAUAAGGUGGUAUGGUAGUGCUUUGCCCUUCAACCAGUCCUGGAGCCAACAUACUAGCCAUGGAUCUUUAACUCUGAAAUAAAAUACUUCAACUUAAGUAAGUACACAAGCUCUGAUACCAAUUGUGAAUGCUAGUAUAAACACCUAGAGGGGGGUGAAUAGGUGUAAAAAUAAAUUUUCGAGAUAAGUGUGCAUCACUAUUCAAUAAUAGAUUAUGAAAAGGAAAUUUGUUUCUUGUUAACUGAACAAGUUAUGAUCAAAGCAAAAGAAUGUAGGGAAGAGAAUUUGAACACAGAGUUUAUAGUGGUUCGGUUUGAUCCAAGCCUACGUCCACUCUUCGCAUUGACAGCCCACUGGCUGGAUUUCACUAUGAACAAAAGAGUUGUUACAAUAAGCUCUUCAUUGAUUCCAUAGUGUAGAGACUCUACUACACUUCCUCAAGGUCUCUCAAAGAUAUAGACUCUCUUUUGCGUACAAGAUUUCGCUUAACAGUUUGACUAAGAACAGGGAGCUUCAGACUUUGGAAUUUUUUUAUCGUGCACACACUCAAACAACUGGAACGUCUUCCUUAUAUACUCCUUUAUGCCAUCAUACCCGUUGCACUUACCAAAGGAAUUCUUCCAAUCUACCCAUUGGACAAAAUCAAUUAGGAAGAUCUUCGAGCUAUUUAAGGAACAUUACGAUAGCCCAUCAAUCCUGCUCGUCCAUACAAUUAGGAUCUCGGUUUCCAUAAGUAGAACCUUCCAAGUAUACUUCGCCAAUUAACGGAUCCAAAAUCCCUGAAUCAAUCUUGAUUUGAAUAAUGGAUUCCGACAUGCUAUAUCUAGCCAAGAUAUCUUUUCCAGUCGAUAGAGUCAAAUCCUUAAUGAAACAUCCAGUUCUAGAUAAGCUUUCUUCGACAGUCUAGAAACUGUCAAUGAGGAUAGACUUUGAGUCUUGAGUUUGACAGUCUGGAGGUCUUCAGACUUUGAUGAAAGAGUCUGCAAGUCUUCAGACUAGACUGAUAAAAAUGUUUUGUCAGCUUCAAAAUAUUCAAGGAAGUUUUAUCCAACAUAGCUAAACGCUAUAACUUCCCUCAGCAACUUCGCGGGUAGCAACCGAUCCGGAGACAUCGGCAACCUCACCGAGAAGUUCCUUGUUGGGAGCUCCUCGUCCAACUCCUAGCUUUGAUCAUCCUCGAAGUUGAGCGUGUAGCUCAUGAGAUUGUACCCGAACUCCGAGGCUGGGAUGUGGCCCUGCCUGCACCUGUACCUCUUGAUUCGAGUGAUGAGGUCCCUGCACUUGUCCCUCAUCUCUGGCAGCGGAAGCUCCUAUGCAGUGACCAGCCGGGCUACCAAGCUACCUUGCGGUGGCUGCCGUCGUCGUAGUCCGAGGCGGUGGCCUUGUUGUAGGCGGCAGCGUGGCCAUAGUGGAAGCAGCAUAAGAAGAGGUAGGGGAGGAUGAUCUAAGUUUGUGAUUGAACUACAUUUUGGGUGUGAAAGAGAGGGAGAGCGCGUGAUGGAGUCAGAUUUUGGUUUGGUUUGUGCGAGACUGUGAAGAGAGUGAAGAGAGUGGAUGGUGAUGAGGAAGAAGAUGGAGAAGAGGUUGAGGUGGAGGCUUUUUCGUCAAUCCCGCGUGGGGUUUCUAUUUUACCUAACUUUCUCGUUGGGCAGUUUGGUAAUUACGCGGAGUUUGUUGACACUUAAAUUUUGAUGACCUGUUUAGUCAUUUAUCGCAUUAAAAAAUCAGGGAUUGAUUUUAACCCCUUAAUUAAUUAAUUAAUUAAUUAAUUGCAUGUUAUAUAAUUUUAGGUGCAUUUAUUUAUUAUUAUUAUAUUUGCAUUAGGCUGAUGAUAGAUGAGUUCGAAUUGGUGGUUUUGAGCUUUAAAUUGACAGGUUGAACUAAGCCCACGAAGGAAGCAAGUUAGUCCAAGCUUGUAUUCUCGAUGAGAUAUUACGAACUUAUCUUUGCGAGAUUUCAAAUUUGAAAAAAAAAAUCCUUUUGCAAUCCCGAAUCGUAUAAAAAAUAAAUAUCGCGUUCGGAAAAGAAAUCUUUGUGGAUGUUAAUUUGGAAAAAUUAAAACCCUAAUUCUUGGCCUAUAAAUAGAUUGUUCGCGUAGGCUACACAUUGAAUGCACGGCCACAAUUCUGAGAGAGCUCUUAUAGAAUAAAGAGAAGAAAGCGUGAGAGAUUGAGAGAGAAGCACGGCAUCAAUUCAGAUUUUUUACAAUAUUUCUCUCCUCCCCUCAUCACAUUCACACCUCUGCCCUUUUUUUUCUUCGAGCAAAUCACGUACUCCACUAUAUUAUUUUUACAACCCCUGAUCAUGGAUGGUCACAUGGAUUAUUCCGUGAUCUGACCAUCACUACUUGGAGACCGGCAAUCCACAAUUCCAAGCGCACAUAGAGAUGAGAGAGAUCCACGAGUGAGAGAGAGAAAAGGUGCUUGGCCAAGCUUCUUGACCCUCGAUGAAGUAGCCUCGCCGGACACACCUACUUUGAUCGCUGCUGCUAUACGACGAGCUGGCACCUCCCCGAGUUGCGCUCUCACUUGCUGCACUCUGGAAGUCCGCCGAUAAUGCCAGCGAACGGGGAACGUGAGAGUUGGGCUUGCACCACGGCCGACGAGAAGAAACAGAAGUCGAAAGAGAACGUGGAUGAAGAAGCAGACCGGUGAGAUUGAAGAAAUUAAUCCGCUGCUCCGGUCAAAAAAAGAAUCACAAUUUGGUCAAAUAAAUCCAAGCGGUGGAUCUGUCUUCUUUUGAAUUUCGUCCAGAUCCAGGAACCCCUACCUUCUGUCGCAGGAGCCUCUUGCCAGUCUGAUUGCAUUGGAUUCAAAUUCGGAAAGCAAUGUUGCGUUUGGUUUAGCAUUCCCAAUGGGCUUUCAACCUUGAAAGCCCAUUGGGGAAAUGCUGGACUGUUUGGCAACCAUUUUGAAAUAGGUGUCAAGUGAAAGUCAAUAUUGAGAAGGUUAAAAAGCCUAAUCUAGUAAAGACUAGCUUUGAGCUUUUAGUAUUUGGCCAAAUACUAAACCUUUUUUUUUCCAAAACUAUCAUUACUUAUUCUUCAAAUUUCUAAUUUUUCCCUCGUUAUUAUUAUUUUUAAAUGCCAAAAUAAUGCUAAAAAAAUCAAAAUUAUAUAAAUACUAAAAAAAUAAUUAUAUUUUGGUCUUUUAAAAAAAAUAUUUAUAUAUUUGAUUUUUUUUAGCAUUAUUGUCAAAAUUUAUAUUUAAAAAGUUACAUACAUUAUUUUUUUUUUCAAUUUUUACAAAUAAAAAUUAAAAAAUUCUGACAAAGAGUUUGGUCCUUUUUUUAAUAUAUAUAUAUAUAUAUAUAUAUAUAUAUAUUUUUUUUUUGAUUUUUUAGCAUUAUUUUCAAUUUUAAAUUUAAAAAUUUGCAUGUAUAUUUUUUCAAUUUUAAACAAAUAAAAAUUUAAAAUUUCCAACAAAGAGUUUGGUCCUUUUUUUUAAUAUAUAUAUAUAUAUAUAUGUUUUUGAUUUUUUAGCAUUAUUUUCAAAUUUAUAUUUAAAAAUUUGCAUGCAUAUUUUUUCAAUUUUAAACAAAUAAAAAUUAAAAAAUUCCGACAAAGAGUUUGGUCCUUUUUUUAAUAUACAUAUAUAUAUAUAUAUAUAUAUAUAUAUAUAUAUUUGAUUUUUUUAGCAUUAUUGUCAAAAUUUAUAUUUAAAAAGUUGCAUACAUUUUUUUUUCAAUUUAAAAAAAUUAAAAAUUAAAAAAUUCCUAUGAAGGGUUUGGUCUUUAAAAAAAAAUUAUAUAUGUAUUUGAUUUUUUAAAAUAUUAUUCUCAUAAUUUAUAUUUAAAAAGUUGUAUAAUUGUUUUUUUUUCAAUUUUAAACAAAUGAAAUUAAAAAAAAAUUAUUAUUAAUCAUGCAAAGGGCUUUUUAAAUUUGUUUUCUACCGAAUGGCAUUUCUCCCAAAGUUUCUUUUCAAAGAAUAGUUUACCAAAUGGCAUUUGCAUUUGCCUAAAGUCCUUUAGCUAAAUUGCUUUGUAUUUUUCCAAUGGGCUUUCAAAAUGCUGAACCAAAUGCACUCUAAAUUACUUUGAGCAAUCAUAUGAGAAUAGACAAAAGAGAAAAUUACAGUUGCAAUAUCCCAGAACAAUAAAAACCCCAAUUCAAGCGAUCAGGAAAAGCAAGCAAAUUCACAUUAUUCCUAAGUGUGGGAUCUUAGUUGUCCACCUCAAGAAGCUGGGAUGACUAUGGUCAAAGGGAUUUUCUGAAAGAGCUGCUUGUUCUUUCAACAUUUUGAUAUUUCCACCAUAUCAACAUCAAGUAUAAACCCGUAUGCCUCAAUUGAAGAUAAAAGUUUACCACACCAAGGUAACAAGACGAGGAUGUGAUGGAUGACCUGCGAGCAAGCAGAACAACCUUCAUACACAAAAAUGGAAAAGAGAUUAUUAAUCUAAAAGUCUAGUUCCCGAUAUCAUGUUGAGAUUGAAGAAUCAUUGUGGAUGACAAAUGACAAAUUAUUUUCUCAAAAAGGCACUCUUAUGAUCUAGACCUCUGACAAGGGCUGCCAGUUACAUUACUAUCAUGAUCAAGAGAAAGAUUUCAUUCCAACUAAGAAACACGAAUCACUCAGUAAUGUACACAAAAAUCACUCAUGGAUGAUUCCCCAAGACUGCCAGCUUCAUUCAUGAUUUGAUCAAGUCUAAGAUUUUGCCUUAUUAAGGGACAAGGAUCGCCUCAUAUAUCGAACUUUCACCAGAAUGUGAUCUCAUGAAAACCUAACGUAACAACUGCUCAUAUUCUAUAUAAAAAAAAGCUCAGGACAAUACAGAUAUUGGCUUUAGCGACUUGCAUCUAGAAAUGUUUAAAGCUUGUGGAGCUCCUAGUCUCCAAGCCCUCGGGGCUCAAUUAGUUUGCUGCUUUUUCAUGCAACAAUUGACGAGCACCAUGAAAUCUCUAUAUUUCAUACGUAUCUCCAUCCUUUGAGUCCUGGUAUGUCCGAUAGCUCCCAACAAGCUAUCACUAUGAAGUACCUUAAAUCUCCGGAUUUACAACACAUCUGGGAAUUUUGGUAACAACUUGUAUCCUUGAAUACACAAACUUUUGCAGGAUGAGAAUAUCUCUAGGUUUUGAAUGUCACGUAGCUUCUCAUAGUGGUUAAUGUUUUAACCUUUUCAGGGUUUCCAAGCACGGUAGAUCCGUUAACCUUCCAAGGGAAGUGCAACCACAAAUAUUCAAUAUUACCAAAAAAAUCCAGCCCAUCAAGGCCACGUUUCACCUAGACUCUUGUAGUCUGCAACAUGAAAGCCCUCAAAUUCUUUAAAUUAGAAAGGUCUUGUUAUCUUUCGAUGGAUGUGCAAUUGGAGAUAUCCUCCAAUCUGACCAAUAAUCAACCUCUCAAGUUACGUGAAUUUCAACUAGAUUCCUACAAUCUGCAGCAAAGAAUCCCUUUAGACAUUUUGAACUCGAAAGGUCUGUUAAUCUUUUAAUGGAUUGAAAGGUCUGUUAAUCUGUUUAAUGGACAUGCAUUUAAAGACAUUAACCUUCUCGAAAAUUCAGCUUGGUCAAGCAUAGGUAUCUGCCAUCUACGAAGCACUGAUGCUCUCCAAGAGCUUUUGUGUUGUGCCGGACACUUUGACACGUGUCUGACACUCUCCCAACACUCUCAGACAUUCUUUGACACUCGGUUAACACAUGUCAGAAAAUUUGACACCUGAUUAACUUUCUUGAUAUUCUUUGACACUUGAGUUGAAAUUCCAACAUACAAGUUUUCGACACGUGAUUCUAAUAUUGAGGUCAAUUUUAAAAUUUUUCAAUAAAUGAGAUGUCGAAAUGUAUAUAUAUGAAAAAAUAAAACAUAAUAAUAAAAAUAAUAAAUGGGGAAAGAAGAAAAACUCCUUAUGUUUUUGUCUCCUCUUUCGACAUAUCUAACCCGCAAGUCUAGAAUGUGAAUUGCUUAUUUUUUUCUUCAAGUUUUAGAAUUAUUGGAAUAGAGUGGAAUUUGUCAAAUUGAAACAAUGAAUGCUACUAAUAAAUGGUGGAUUAAUGUUUGUAUAAAUUCAUUCUAACCUUUUUUUUAUUAGUUAUUUAUUUAUAAAUUUGAAUCAAAUUAAUUUGAUUGAAAUAAUCAUAAUAAUGAUAAUUUAUUAUGUAUAUAUGAAAAUAUAUAUUUAAUAUACAACAUGUUCUAAUGUGUUGGAAUUCUCUAUUUUUUGAGAAACGAUGUGUUGGAGUGUCAUGUCGUGUCGUGUCGCAUGUCAGUAUUGGUGCUACUUAAUCUGCCAUCAUUGUCGUUGUAACCUUUGCACGACCAUCGUAAAACACCACCCCCAUUAGUUAGUACUACCAAUACCCUUCGGCUUCAACCACCAACAGUCUGCCAUCACAUGCGCGCGGCAUUGUUAGAGGUGUUAAAUGGGUUGCACAACCCAUUUAUGGACCCAUUUAUGAUUAAAUGGGUCAAUGGGUCAAGCUUUAUUUCAUAAGGCACCCAUAAUGGAUUUUAAUGGGUCAAGACAAAGAUAUAUGGGUUUUAAAUAGGUCAGCUCUCUGACUCAUUUAUCAACCCAUUAAAAAUGAACCUAUUUAUUUUCACUCAAAACCUCACCAUCUCUUUCUCCUCUUUUUAACUUUACAAUUUUUUAUUUACAAAAACCGAAAUUAUUAUUAUUAUUAUUAUUUUCUUUCUUCUUCCUCCGGUCGCCGGUAUGGCGAUGGCCGGCGACCGGCCAGGCGAGGCGGAGGCCUCGCCAAUCUGGCGAGACUCGAACUCGCCAGCGUCAGGUGAGGCUUGAGCCUCGCCAAAUCCGGCGAGGGGCGACCUCAAGCUCGCUUAGCUCGCUAGAUCUGGCAACACGGAGGCCUCGCCGACAUUCGGAGAGGCUCGAGCCUCGCCAGAUUUGGCAAAGGGUGAGCUCGAGCUCGCCGGAUCUGGCAAGGCAGAGGUCUCGUCGGCGUCGAGUGAGCUUAAGGCUCACCUGUGGCCGGCCAUCGCCAGUCGUCGUGGCUGGCGGCCGGCCAAAGAAGAAGAACAAAGAAGAAAAAGGAAAAAUUAUAUUUAAAAAUAAAAAUAAUAUUUAUAAAAAUUGUCCAAUGUAUAAAACUAUUUUAGUUUUAAUAUAUAUAUAUAUAUAUAUUUAAAAAAUUAUAAAAAAUUGAAAAAAUUAUUGAUUGGAUUUGUAUUGCUCAGAAGUUUUUUAGUAAUAUAAUAUUUAAAGAAAACCUAAGAAUAAGUUUUCCUAUAUUUAGUUAAAUAUGAAAAUAUUUUAUUAAUAUGGGUCGGGUCGGGUAUGGGUCAAAAAAUUUACAUUAGACAUAAAUGGGUCAUAAAUGGGUUAAUGAGUCAAUUUGGGUCGGACCCACUCGUUUAACAGCUCUAGGCAUUGUACAAAGGCAAGUUCACAAUCCAAAUGCACCGAGAGCACGGGACUGAAACGGCACAGCCACCUAACUAUUUUUAAAAAUCACCCCACCAAACAUGACCCAGCGUAAAACCUAUGUAGCACGGACACGGACACGUGACACGUGACACGACAUGACACGUCGACACGAUAUUUUUUAAAAAUAGAGAAUUUCGACACGUUCCGACACGUUAUAUAUUAAAUAUAUUUUUAUAUAUAAUACAUAAAUAAUAAUAAUAAUAAUAAUAAUAAUAAGAAUUAAUUUACACAAAAAAUAUUAAAUAAUAUCAUUCAUUAUUUUAAUUUGUUACAAUAAUACACAAAACUUAGAUGAAAAAAACAUUGUUUAAAGAAAAAUGCUGAAAUUAUAUUUUUAAAUUUAUUUAUCUAUCAUAUAUAGCAUUUUUUUAUUACUUCUUUCAGAGUAAAAGACUUUAAAAAAAAAACUGAAAAAAAAAUUGACCUUGUGUGUAUAUAUUUAUAGAAAUUUUAUUACUUCUUUUAUACUUCUUUUGUGUAUAUUUAUAUUUUGACCCAUCAAGUAUUAUAAAAUUUUAAAAUUGACCCCGUGCGUGUCGGAAUUCUAAAAUUGACCCCGUGCGUGUCGGAAUUCUGGACUCACGUGUCGGAGCGUGUCGGAAAGAGUUGACCACGUGUCGGAUUUUUUGACACUUGUUGACCGCGUGUCGGAGCGUGUCGGGACGUGUCGGAGCGUGUCGGACACGUGUCGGAGUGUCGGAUACGACACGAAGGCUUCCGGAGAGUGUCCGUGCUACAUAGCGUAAAACAAAACCCACUUGCCACCGCAUGAGAGCCGUCUCAUUACAUCCAAACCCUUCCACUAGACGGACGACAACGGCAGCUACUACCCCAACAAAACGCGAGACCGUACACAAGAGAGAAGCAGAUAUGAACCGAAACACUCAAUCAAGAUGAGAAUAAAUCCGGACAGAGCCGCCACAAAAGCAAACACGCAUCGAAUUCAGCUAAGUGGCGGUGGUGUACCUUCAGCUAGCGAAGCGAAGGAGGGAUGCCAUUGGAUUACGUCAUUGUUCAGCUGCCUCCUUCGCUUGAUUUUGUAGAGGGUUACGCGGAUGCUAGAGUGCUCGUUACCUCUGGAGAAUCUGGGCUCGUUGCCUCAUCAAUUCGGAAGCACCAGAAACCCCAAGAAUCCCCAAGCUUAAAUCUGGUGGCUUUUCUUCGCCCAAAGGACUUGUAGCGAAUAAAUUCGGACACGGCCUUCUCUAAAUUCAACCUUUCGGCACCGCUCAAAUGACUCCAUUUAAUAGAAAGCUUGGAUAGUCGGACGGGAAGCUUUGGAAGACAUUCAAGAGGACGGAGAUCGACAAGAGAGAGUUUCUCGAGAAGGGUUAGUUUGGAAAGAAAUGGCAACGAUGGAGUUGGGAAAUCAAUAUGCAGAGCUAUUAAGCUGGAGGGCGGUUCCGGUAUUUCUCGAAGGAAGUCACAACAUCGAGCGCCGAGAUGUCGGAGAGAAGAGAGCUUCGAAAUGCUCUCUGGCAAGCCCAAAAUGCCCGAUCCAUAUAAAAGAAGCUCCUUUAGUGAAACCAGCUCGCCUAUACUACUAGGCAGUCCUUUCAGAUUGUUGCACCUCAUUGCCCUCAACUCUUGGAGUUUCACCAGCAUUCCAAUGGUGCUAGGCAAUUCUGUCACGAGAGUUUUAUUAAGGUCCAAGAUCCUCAAAUUUUGCAGAUUCCCAAUGCUUUCUGGUAAUUUUGUAAUCGAAGUCCCUUCUAAUUGUAGGUUGGUCAACGAUGCCAACUCUCCAAUCGAGUCGGGGAUCUCUCUCAACGACUCGCAUUCCAUUAAGUUAAGGAGAUAUAGAGAUGCUAGGUUGCCUAUGGAUUUGGGUAUAUGAUCUAAUAUACUACACUCAGCGGCAUUAAGAGUUUUUAGCGCCUGCAUAGAACCAAUGGAUUCGGGUAAUUCUUUAAUCCUUGUAUAAGAUAAGUCCAGCUUAGUUAACGACUCAGAGGAACCCAUGGAUUCGGGAAGUUGAGCAAGUUUAUCAUAACAUUGAAGAUCCCUUGAUUCUUCCAUUCUCCCUACUCUUACUAGUAGCUUCUUUAGUCUAGAACAAAGAUGGACGUCCAAGGAGACAAGGGUCUUGAUAUACCAUAUAGAAGGAUGGAUUUCUUUUAGAUUGCAACAGCUUUCAAGAUUCAAAAUCUCCAAGCUUUUGAAAGCAGACAAGUCAGGAGUUCUUCUCAAAUUGUCACAAAACGAGAGGUUGAGAACUUUCAACUCGGUUGCCAUCUGAAAGAAACAAAGGAAACUUCAGUGAAAGUAGACAAUAGCAAUGUGUGAUUUUCCACCAUUCCUCCCUUUUCUUUUAAGAAUCUUUAAAAUUCCUGAAAAAAUACCCAUACUCCACUGCUCUUUCAUGAUUGUAGUAUUUAAUUUUAAAUGUUUUUUCUUCAGUAGUGUCAGGCUAGACCACCAUAUUGAAUUGUUUAAGCAUAUUAAUCGCAAAAGAAUGUUAGGGACGUACAAGUGCCAAUUAUUUUUAUUUUCGGAUAAAAUUUGAAAAAGAAAAUAUAUUCAAUUUUUAAGAGCUAUGGCGAUGCUGUUCAUUAGACAUACACAAAUUUUAUUAUCAAAGAGACAUUCCAAUAGCAAGAAACUAAUAGCUUAAUUAUGAAAAACAAUUUCUUAAAAGUGACUUAAAAAAAAGUUAAAGAAUGUUGUAUUCCAAAAAAAUUUAAUGCCAUCGGAAGGAUAGUUUUUAUUACUCUCAUAGCAUUAAUAAUUUAUAUUUGUGUCAUACAACGACUUCCAUAAUCAACAAUUACAAUGAAUAAAUAUUUCGUACAAAAAGUCAAAGCAAUCCAUAAAUUAUAUCCAUUACUCUAAGAUUAAAAUGAAUUCACAAUUUUAGUAUUUAUGCACAACAGAAGUUACUCUGUGGGAGUUCUUUUCCUCCAUGAAAGAAGAUUCAUGUAGAGAUACGGCAAGAAUCACUAGAAGACAUGCUUUUGCAUGGGAGAAAUUAACUUAGCCAUAAACCAUCUAGAUUAAAGUAAAUCGGAAUAGGUACAAAUAUGUAAUUAUAUUUUCAACAUAUGUUAAUUAAUAUAGUUAAUUUCUUUUUUCUAGUAUUGUCUAAGGUUAAGCAUGAUGGGUUGUUGAGUUUUAUCAAUAAAAAAUAAUUAAGGAGCAUAAGCUUCCGAUUAUUUUUAUUUUUUGUUUUUUAGCUUCUGAUUAUUUAGGUAACUAUAAAUUCCUCUUAUAUUUAGAUGAAAAUCCUUAAUCCGAGGAACAUUAGCAAACCUUCUAUAAGAAAGAAAGAAGAACCUAGUGCUAUUGGACCUUCGGUAACACGUUAUCAUUCAUAAGAGAUAUAUCUUCUCAAUAUCUUACCUUGAAUGGGCCCCAUCCUCCCCAGUACUCUGUAAUCUUACUAGUUGAUAGAUCGAGCACGACUAAUUUCUUCGGGUGAAAGUUGACCAUAUCAAAAUCCAAGGGACAAAACAUCCAUUCAAGCCAUCUUAAUUGAGGAAGUAAAUUUUGGAAAUCUCCAAUGAAAUUCACACCACACACUUUGAGGAACCUCAAGUUGGUGAGUUCAUUAAACUGUUCACCCCGGUAGCUUUCCCACUUGCCAUAAUAGUCAAGAUGAAGGGCCUCAAUCUCACUAGUGCCCUGCAAUUACAAAACAUCGUGGACCAUAAGUUUUAAUUGAUGAAAUGAGACUAACCGUAUAUAAAAAGAUGGACUAAUUUCAAUUUCAUAUCAUACUAUCAUGGUGUAAGCUUCUAACGUUCAACUUGGUGAAACAACAAGUUGUCAUUGCAUAUGGUUUAUUUAAUUAAUGUAAAUAUGUGAAGCUAAAGAAGGUGUUUUCAAACUUUUCCUCUUCCAAUUAUGCCUUUUGCAGAUUUAUUCCUUUCGAAUUACCAAAAAUUGCAUUUUUUUUCAAAAUUACAAUAAAAGGCCUUAUGUACAAACUACGUCAAAUAUAUCUAUCAAAAUUCAUUGCUCUUUAUAUGUGAAACAACACAACCCUAACUCAUAUAAUUUAUAUGUGAAACAACGUGACUCUUGAAGUCCAAGUACGUCUAUCAAACUUCUCAUCAAAAUACAUUUCAAAAUUAGAGAAUCGGAAUUGUGGAAUCCCCUAUAUAAUUCUGGUUUCCCUUGUUUGCAAUUCUCAAUAACAAAAUGAAAACAAGAAUGUCAUCUCAAGAAGAAUGCUCGUGUUUUACAUUCCUUUGUUAUCAUGUGUUUCUUUAAUGAGUAUUUUUAAAUUGCACAUUCAAGAAAAAUUGAUUAUAUAUCAACUUAUAUAAAUGAUCUUUACUCCUCUUUUUAUUAGUACAGAUGUUUGAUGCAACAUUUUCAAUAUCUUGUUUAUCUUGUUACAGUGAAAUAGCGUAAAUUAAUGAGAUCUUGAUUCCACAAGGAUUAGGCAUGAAGAUUGAUUAAAUUGGAUACUUAGGAAACUUAAGUCUUUUAUAUUGUAUUUGGUUGUAAACCAAAUAUUUUGGGAACUCAACUUUUUUGUCUCAGGUGAUGAAUUGCACAUUGAGCACAAAUCAUGAGAGUUAUAAGACGGAUUUGUUUGACAGUUUGAAUAUUUCUUUCAAAAUAUUUUUUUUUUCAGAUGAGAUACUACUUAUUUUUCCUUUCAAAAUUUCUCGUAUAUCAUCAUGUUUUCAUCAAUAACUUCAUAGAUAUCCUUAUUUCAGUUCUAAGCAAUGCUCUAUUCAGUUGAUUAUAUUUCCAUUUGAGCAACAAUAUGCUCACCGAGAUGCAUCAAUAGCAUGUUUUUCACUUAUCUCGUUACUUCAUUUUAUUGUGCAUUCUCAAUGUUUAUACUUAGUAUUUUUUAAUUAAAGGUUUGCACAUGUUUGUUUGAUGCUUGCACAAAUCAUCCAUAUGUUGUAAUUGCUUCUAGUUGCAUACCUUUUUAACUUUCUUGCUAAUAAUGAAAAUUAAUCAUGACACAAAAUUCAAAACCAUAAUUUUCACAUCACAAUUGGAAUGAACCGUUGCUUCAACUUCGCCCACAUUUAUAGAUAUUGUGCAUAUUAAUCUCAUUAAUAAAAUUGGAUAUGUCAAUUUUUCAAUCUUCCUUCAUCAAAUUUAUCACUCGAUAGUAAUCUUCACAUUUAGAUCUAAUAAUAAUAAAAAAAUUAUUCUGACUUCAAUUUUACUACAAAGUAAUAAAAGCUAUCUCUAAUUUUGCAUUUGAUCAUAUUAGAAUGUAAGGAUUUUAUUAAGUUUUAUUAUGUGAAUACAGGGUUCUAAAACUUAAGUGAUGAUCUUUAUUUAAUAAAUGUAGAAUCAAGAUUAUUUCUUUUCCUAAAUAUUACGUUGAUAUUACUACUUUAUGAGCAUAUGGUUGUGAAUUUGUUUUUAGUUUUAUUACUAAUUAUCAUUCACUUAUAAAUUUCUAACAAAAUUGUAAAUGUAAGGUUAUUUUAUCACUAAAAUGUAACCUUUGAUGAUGCUCUAUGAAAAAAGUCAUAUUUGUUAAAAAUUAAAAAUCCAAGUUCAAUUCAAUAUCAUGUGUCAAUUUUUAGUUAGUUCUUCGACAUUAGAAAUGUGACAUCCUUAUUUUAACCCGAUUUUUCAAAACGAAAUGAUCGUCAGAUGAGAGCAUCUUGAGGAUCGAUGAACCACAAGGGCAUCAUAAAGAAAACUUUGGGGGUGAAAACUCGGUUUUUCAUUCAUAAGACAAAAAAGUUCAGAAAAGUAAAAACGAGCCAUGGACAAGAACCCAAUGGGCCUAAGCCCAAGUGGGCGGCCCAAGGCCCACAUGCCCAAGGGGUGGGCAGCCAAGGGAGACCCAUGGGCCCUUCAAGCCCUAUUUUGGCAAGAUCUUGGCAUUUAAUACACCCAAGUACAUGAAUAGUGCACAAAUAGUGCACGAUAUUGGUGAAUUGACCGAAAUGCCCUUCCAUUGACAAAGGACGAAAGGGCAAAAUGGGAAGUUGGACAUGAAGGGGCGGCACAAGCAUGUUGGGCGGCCAAGAAGAAGCUUGAAGACCAUUCUAGACUAGUCUAGCCUAGCCUAGUCUAGCCCUAACCUAGUCACUUGAGUGCAAAUCCUCUCAUUAAUGCAAGAAUUUUUCUUCUUGAGCAAGCCUUCUUGAUUGAUUGAUGAGAGUCCAAGAAGAUAUGGAUUUUAUGUGCAUUAAUGGGUAAGAUUUCUCUGUCUCUCUCCUCCUUCACCGCUGGCCACUCUUCCCCUCACCCUCAUUCUCUCUCAUUUCCUCACCUAUUUGAUUUCAAGCUCUCUGCCUCUCUCCCCUCACCAACACCGAACCCCCAUAGCCAUCGUCAUCUUCAUCUCAAGCUUUUCUCUUCAUUUUUCCUCUUGUUUUUACCUCACUGGCGACCGUCCCUUGCAACCCAAUGCCGCACUGCCGUCCACACGUCAUUUCCAUCGCCGUAGCCAAGCUUUCAAUAUGAGAAGGCUGCUGUCCAGCCCUCACAGCAGCCCCCUCUCGCUCAUUUCUUCUUUGAUUUGGUCCCCCAUGAAGCCUGGAGGCCGUGCUGAUGCUAAACCGCCACCGGACUGCCACUGUACCACUGCCGGACCACCGACCAGCCACCGUCUAGCCCCCACACGCCCUGAGGAGGUGUAAACAGCAGCCUCAGUCACUGUCCAGCUUUGUUGCACCACCCCCAACAUUUUGCGAAGCUUGGAUUAGUUUGUGAGUGGCUUGCUAGCCUUUGAUUAGGGCUUUCAUUGUACUUAGGGUGUAGUUUAGGGCUUGUUUAGGGUUAAAUGAUGAUUUAUUGAUGUGAUAAGUGGAUGUUGUGUGAUAAGUGAUUAUUGGGCUUAGAUAGGUUAUUGAAUGUUUACUGAUAGGUUAUCGGGUUUUAGGUGAUAAGUUAUCGAGCCUAGGACAAUAAGUUCACAUGUUAGGACGAUAGGUUAUCAGAAUUUUAAUAAUAAGUUAUCGGGUUUUGAUGAUACGUUAUCAUGUUUAGGGUGAUAAGCGAUCAGGUAAUGAUAAGUGAAAUUAAUAUGUUGUUUUAUUAUGCCAUAAAAGGAUAAAAUACUAUUAUGUGAUAUAGGCUUAUACGGAGUACGGAUUAUAUACUAAAUGUGCUAUAUGUGUUAUGUGUUGUACGUGUUUGAUGUAUUUACGUGAUAUGUACAUUAUAUUAAUUGAAGGAUGAACUAUGAGAUGGGGUAUGAUGGCACGUGGAAAAAUGAUUUUGAAAUAUUAUGAUGACUAUAUUCUAUUCUUAUAAGUGAUCCACAUGCCAUGGGUUUAUGAAUUAAAUGGUGCAUUUAUAUAUAAUAUAGUAUGAUGCACGUGCGUAGCAUUAAGCUUUUGGCAAGUGACAUGGCAUAUUGCAUGAGUAUCACGUGCAUUAAUGAGAAAGAUAUGAAAAGAAUUAUGUGAUGGUAUGCUUGUGUGAUCACCUAAGACCUUGAUGCGUUUUACGCGGGACGAUGCCCAAUUAAGUUCGGAUGCCCCCAAGUCAACAGGAUGUUGUUCACGAAUGGAUUUUAGAACGAAGCUCCUUACAGGAAUAACCGUCUUGAUGCGUUCACGCGGGACGAUGCCGUACUCGAUGAGAUUCGUAUGUGUUCAGGUCCGGAUUAUUGCAUGGCAUACGUGCGUGAUUUAAUUAUAUUGUGCAUUCAUAUGUUUGGCUCAGGAGCAUGAAAAAUAUGAUGGAAUUUGCUUAUGUGUUUCUAUUGACGGCCUUGAGUAAUAGGUUUGCUUUGAUGUGAAUAGUUAGGGUAAAACGAGAGGAGUUUUUUUAUGUUUUUACCAUCGAUAGAAAAUUGCAUGUUUAGGGCACUUCCGAGGUGAACGGCUUCCCUAUGUAAGGUAUAAGAAGUUCACUUAUUGAGUUUAUUCAUAUUUGUUUGUUGAAUAUCUAUAGGCUCUAGGAAUGGCUGAGCCGUUCUGUCAGAUAUAGUUUGGCCUGCCUGUUGAGCACAAUCAGGAGGUGACAAAGUAUCCUAUACCGGGAGGGGUCGACACGCAUUACACGCGUUACAUCAUGACCAUCUAGGUCAACAAAGGUCUACCUAAUCUCGUCCCUCACUGAUUCUUGGCCUAGUAUUUCGGGCUAGGCAAUGAGAGCCAUGGUCCCAUCUGCGGCUUCAACGGUCCGUCAGAUGUCAGAGGCUCAAGGGGAGGCAUCAGCAUGGAUGCCAAGGAUGGGGACAUUCCCGAUGGGGAAGUGUUCAACCCUGAGCUCGACCCCGAGUUGAUUACUAAGCCAAAGCCAUGAAUCUUGGAUGCCAUUGAGGCUUAGGUAAUAGUAGGGUUGAUGAUACAUUUUGAACCACCCUCGUAGUAUUAGAGGUGUUAGGCGUAUUCCAGGCCCUUUUUGUAGAAUGUCGUGGCAACACGAUGAAGCAUAUCAGAUGUGAUGACACUAGUUUAACUUCUGAUUAUGACAUGUAUGAAACGUUGGCUUAUGACGCAUAUAUACGAUUAUUUUUAUUAACUAUCCCUAUCUAUUGAAUAAUUGAAGAUUUAUUUAUGCUUCGGCUUGUGUAAUUUAUCGUUAUCGCAAAUUGGGUUGGCAAUGCCUCCUAGGACAUCAUAAGCAAAUGACUGAAAGGGAAAAUACGUGUCACGCAGCCGUAGUGGGUUGGGGCGUGACAAGAAUGUUUGUUAUUCUAUCAUUGAAGAUGUACGUUUGGUAAUAUAUGUUUUGUUGAAAAUACAUGGUUCUCAAAUUACAUUUUAAAAACAUUGUGAAAACAUAUCAUUGCAAAUACAUAUUCUUAUAUAAGUAUAAUAUAACAUUGUAAAUAAAUCUAUAAUUUCACCACUAGAAAUUCUUGUAUGCACUUCUAAUGGAAAUUGUGAUCUAGGUAUUAACUUUCAAUUAUAUUUUUAUAUACAUAGAUACAGUAAUCACUAUUCUUCUAUAAUUUUUUUGUGAUUAUGAAUAGUUUUGGCUAAUUUUCAUUAUUCUUCUAAAACGAAGUCAUUUGGUUUUAUGGUCUUUAUUCUUGACCAUGCACUAUUUUUUUUAAUGUUUGUUGUCAAUGUUUUAUUUAUUUCAUCAAAAUAGUACAUUGUUUAUAAAACUUUUAUCCAUAUUCUCAUAAAUGAACCCUUCUAUUCAAAAUGGUCCAUUUAAAUAUGCAUACAUUUCACAUGAUAUGUUAAACUCCUUUUUCUAUGCAAUUCGUUUUUUAUUCUACUUACGAUUCUUUUCUUUCUCAAAUAUGAGAUAGAAGAGUUUGAUCCAUUAGUGUUGUUUACUUUAAUAUUGGAUGAAAAUACAUCUUCUCUUCGAAAUAUGACUUUCCAAAUUUAUUACAUUAUAAAUAUGUUGAUGAAUAGUACCUCUUUAGGAAGUAAUUCAUCUGGACCAUAAUUUAUCUUGCAUUUUGAGUGGUGUAGUUUCUAGAUGACUUUUUUUUUUCAAUGGUACAUACGUAAUGUUUGGUCCCUUUCUUUCUUUGCUCAUACUCAUAUUAGUUAAUGUUUAUUUGCUACUUUUAUGUUUGCAUUAACAGACACUUCGUUUUGAAGACAUGAGCUUGAAUAGACACAUUUCUUUAUAUUAUACAUGUUGUUAAUGAAACAAAACCAUGUAAUAACUUUUAUGCUAACUUAAACCAAUCAACAUAUAGCUACUAUAGUUUUAUGACAUCUCAACAUAAUAGCGAUUAUAUUGAAGCCUUAUCAUACAGGUGGUGUAAGUUGUUGACUACCUCUCUAUACUUUUUUGGUUUAUUGAACUUGAGAAGAAUAGGAAAGAUUGGGAUCUUGAGGCAAGAGUGUGCAGCGGAAGUUAAAAGUAUUUUCAGUGUUAAAAAACUAAUUAAAAUAGUUAUAGCUCUAUUGUUCCAUUUAUCAUAAAAGUUUAACUUUUUUCUUCUAAUGUCUUAUUUUAAUCCGUAGACCUCACCAAACAAUAUAACAUAUAUAUUUUUUAGCAAUGGGAACAAUUUAUGGGUUUAUCUUUCAUUAUAUGCAACGGGCUAAUAUUUGAUAAAUAAAUAAUAUUAAGUUCAUACUUGUUAAAUUAUAGAUCAAUAUCAUAUUAGACUCAUAUUUGACAAAUAUAUAAUAUUGAAAGGUAAAAAAAAAAAGAUAUCCAUCAUUACAAAAAAAAUUAUAUUACAUGCUUUAGAAAUAAAUUAUACAAUCAAAUUAACUAUCAUAGAAGAAACCAGUACACGUUUAGAGGAAUCUAUCACAUGAAUGCAUAUAUUUCAACAAUAAGUAUGACGCAAUGUAGCAACGCCUCUUGUGAUUGCGAAGUUGUAUAGAUACCCAUUGUGACUAAGAAAUAUCCAUCAUCACAAAAUAAUUAUUUAACAAGCUUUACAAAUAAAUGAAUAUAAUGAAAUUUCCAUUAUAGAAGGAAAAAGAACAUCUGUUUAGACGGAUCUUUUACAUGAUAACAUAUAUUUCUACAAUAAGUAUAACGAAAUGCAUAAUAAGUGAUGGCUAUUAUGAUUAAAAAGUUCUAUGGAUACUCCUUAUGAGAAAAUAUGUUGCAUUUCAUAAGCAGAUCAUAUUAACAAGUUGAUAAAAAAAAACUAUGUAACAUGAUAGCUUAUAUUUAACAAAUAAAUGAUGUAUUAAAUAUGAGCUGUAAUAUGCUCAUUAUUAGGUUGAACGAUAUAGAAGUAUCUAUUAUAACAUGGUAGCUAAUGCUUGAGGAAUUAAAAAAUCGACGGAACAAUUAUAUAACAUGAAAGCCUACAUUUAACAAAUGAAUGUUAUUUAGAAAAUAAUAGACAACGUCACAAAACUACAAAAAAAAGAAUGAAUAACAAAUAUACGGAAGUAAAUUACACAUUAUUAUGAAAAGUCUAUAGAAUGAAAAUAAUAUAUGAUUGGAGGAAAUAUGAAAGCCGUGGGUAUCAAAUGGACGAUGUUAACUAAUAGUUGAUGAUAAAGGACUUGAUUGCACAAAUUGUGAAAGAUAAAGGACUGCAUUAAGCAAAGAAAAAAAAAGAUAGGGGACUAAAUCGCACAAACAAUAACACUUAGCGGACUAUAUGUGUACUUAACUUAGCUUUGAAAAAUAUAAGAGGCAGGAUAGCUGAUUGUCACAAAUGAAUGGAGUUAUCGUUUAUUAUAUCAAGCAACUCAUGAGGUGUCAAUACUUGGUAAAAGAAAGAAAGAAAGAAACGACCUCACAAGAAAUUAACAAAAGAAUCCAAACAUAAAAAAUACGCAUCAAACGUAAAUGUGGGAAAAGCUUGGCCCAACAACUUGUAGAUGUUUUCUCUGAAAGAGCCCUAUCAAAUAUUAUGUAUCUGUUGUUGUUGCAUUGAAGUUAGCAAAGGAGUGUACUCAACAAAAUACUAUGAGGUAAAGAUAUAUAUUGAUCAUCAAUAAUCAAGGAAUUGCUCCUCAGUUAUGUCCUUGAAUCAGGCAAGAACAUCUAUUAAUCAGAAGAGCUCAUUUACUAAUAGAUGCCCCAAGUUUUGACGCAUCAAUUUUUCUCUCAAAGAAUAUAGAGAAGAUGGACUCAACAUUCACUAACUAUGAGACAAGUAGAGAAAACUCUUACCUUGUUGCUUGCAAGCACAUCUUCGACUUUCUCACUAAUCCAUAAUCUGCUACGCUUUUGAGGCUUCUUUUGAUUUUCUUGACGAACUAUUUCCCUUCCAAGAUCUCUCAAUUGAUCGUGCAUCAUUAGCUUGCCGGGUUCAUCAACUUUAAUGAGGGACAUAAGACUCAAUACUUCAAUCCCCCUCCCCGGGAAAAAGUCACAAGCAUCCCACAUAUAAAUCGGAUUUUGUUUAGAUGCUCCAAUAAAAAAGCAUGCAAUAUCCAAAAAAAUCUGUUGCUCCUCAUAAUCUAAUGCUUCAUAACUUAUCCUCAACCUCUCUUGCACUUUUUUUUCUGGCACUUUCUUUAAUUUCUUAGAUGUAUCUUUCCAUGCUUCCUUUGUCUUUCCACAUAAGAAUGAGCCUAUAACUUCAAGAGCUAAAGGAAGUCCCCCAGUAAUAGAUACAACAUCAUAAGAGAUAUCCUCAUAACCACUCAGAGGAAAAUCUUUUCGAAAAGCAUGUCUACUAAAUAAAAUCAAUGAUUGAUCCGAAGGCAACUCGUUGAGUUUAUAAAUGUGAUUAGCCCUAGCCUUGUCAAGAAUACUCUUGUCUCUAGUUGUGAUGAUGACUAUACUUCCUACUUCAAACCAACUACCGUCUCCCACCAAAGCAUUCAAGUGAGUAUAAUCAUCUAUAUCAUCAAGAAGAGUGAUGACUUUUUUACUUGUAAAUCGAGAUUUGAGGACACUGAUUCCAUCAUCGACAUUAGACACCUCACACAAACUUCCUAUUAUGUCAAAAAUGAGCUGCUUUUGUAGGAAUGUAAUACCCUGACGCUGAAAUGUUUCUCGAACAUUUGCCACAAAGCUGCGAUUCUCAAAACGACUAGAUAGUUUGUUGUAUAAUAUCUUUGCAAGAGUUGUUUUACCGAUACCGCCCAUUCCAUAAAUUCCAAUAAACCACGUACCAUUGAAUCUAGCAUCUAUUUGGCUCAUAAUUUGUUCCACACGAUCAUCAGUUCCCACCAAUUGUUUCGGAACAUCUAGCUGAAAAAGUCUUUUUAACUCACUCAUAACUCUUCUAACGAUCAUUUUGACUAAUCCUGCUUCGUGCCUGACAAAUAACAACAUAAAAUUUCAAUAUAUGAUUGCAAUGUUUAUAUGCCUUUUCAAGUAAGAUUUGUCUGUGAAAAACUAAAAAGUGUUUUUGGGGAGAAUAAUGUACCCCUUAUCAAUUUUCUCGGAUUCCCAUCCUUUUAAGAGACUAACUUCUUUGAGUGCAUCUUCCCAUUCCUUCACAACCAUUUGGUUCAAGUUCUUUUUAUGUGCAUUGAUGGCAUCUCCAAAUCUCUCUCUAAGAUAUUGCACCUGUGAGGGUUCCACUUUGUAAAAUAUGGGCAACACUACUUGUCCUCUACUUCUCCUGCAAUUCAACAUCUGAGCCAACUCUUGAAGGCACCAUUUGCUGAAAGCGUAGUCCUUAGAUAUGAUCGGGAUUGAGAUCUUAGACUGUGUAAUACUACAAAGAAGCUCCAAACCAAUAUCCUCACCAAUACGGAGUUCAUUGUCAUCUUUGAACACAAGAAUUCCUGCAUCAACAAGGCUAGUAUAGAGAUAAUCGGUAAAGCCUUGGCGAGUGUCUUUCCCUCUAAAGCUCAAGAACACUUCAUAGUCAUUUCCUUUCAGCCUUUUGGUUCCACCUCCAUUAUCAUCUACAUGUGGAGAGGUCGACGAGGAAGAUGCCCCGUAUAGCAGAUCUUCUGAAUGACUGGGUUCUUUAAUUUUCAUCUUGAGAUAGAUGGAGCGGAGCUUCAAAAGAAGAGGAAUAUGGAAUCCCAGAUCUGGGAAUUGCAGAAAUGUCUCUGGAACUCAAUUGAGAGCUACAUUCAAAGAAAAAUAAAAGCUCUUCUACAACUAAUCAGAAGAAAAUGGAGCGAUCAAAACAAGAAAGAGAGGAGGAGAAGAGCAAGUAGUCGCCAAUUAACUAAGGAGUGCUCAAAUAGCGCAAUGCACACACUGCUGUGAUCUCCACUGAUUCUCACCUUUGACGUUGGAUUACCCACACGCAAUGCUCUUUAUCGUGCGUGCUUGAACUAUGCUGAGUUCUGGCCAUCCAAGGAUCCGAGACUUUAUAUUCAUAUAAGAAAAGUUUAUUAUUUUCAAUCAGCAAUCUAAUUUUUUCUUAAGGAGGUUGCUCUAAAAUGAUAAAUCACUAAGUAAAUCUAUGCCACUUUCAUAGAAAACUCCUAUUGUAUCUCUCUCUCUCUCUCAAAAAAAAAAAAAAAAAGUGAAACAUUGACGAGAGCUUUUCAAGUACACGUUUAGAAAGAUCCGAUUAUGUGAAUCUCCAUAUUUUUCAAUGGUCAAGUUAAACUAACAUUUUGUUUUGCCAAAAAAUCAACAAGAUUAGCGUGCAAGCAAAGUCGUACAUUUGAUUACUCUUCUUUUCUAUCCCGUGAGAAUCACGGCGUACAUGAUCAGCAACUCAGAAAGAAAAGGAAGGAAAAAAAGAAAGAAAGAUCGAUGACUAGUCAAAAAUAUGAGGAAGAUGGGGCCACUUCUGGUCUGGCAUGUUCGUGCAUAACAAUUUUGCCAUGUCCUCGUCAGCCAUUUGAUGUAGGCAUUUUAAUGUUAGCUGUCCUUUUAAAUUGCGUUAAGCUGUGCAAUCAAAACUUUGUCAGAGUAAACCAUUGGAUUGACAUUGAUAAAAUUGCUAUGUUCAAGGCCACUGGCUCGUAGCAAAGGCCGGAAGAUGAGGAAAACCUUUACAGUGUCCCGAUUGUAACGUUACGACAUUACGAUACAUGAGCUAAGUAGAAGAACAUCAUAAUAGCAUAUUCUAUGACGUUGCCGUAUUCAAGUACAAAAGUGGUGUGAAACAGAAGUCUGCAACGAAAGUUUUUCAAAAGAUGAAUGGAAUCAACACUGAUGGAAGUUUCACAGGAAAAAGAUGAGCCGAGUAAGGCAUGAGACGAGGGGCAUUUGUCGCCUGACUUGCUUUUUUUAACUCACCCACUUUGAUGACCAAAAAAUAGCCUUAAUCCUGCUUUUUUAUCAACGGGAAAACAAAAAAAAUAAAGUGAGAGCAUUUGCACUUCUGAUGGAGCUCCAAAUGAUUGUGUUCCUCGGUGGGUUGGAAAUUGGAAUCUAAAAGAAAACCAAAUAUAUUUGUACACCUCUAAUAAAAAAAAGUUUAUUCUUUUUUACCCAAAUGAUGAAAGAAUAAGUGAGAGAUAUAUGAUUUGUCAAAUAAUAUAAAACGUGAUACGAAAGUUAAAUGUAUUUUGGGUCUCAUACUAAUUAUGUUUACAAAAAUUGUAUGUCUAUUUUAGAAAUUAGAAUCACCUGAUCAAAUAUCACGAAAAGUUAGAGCCAUCUGCGCAUAGUCCAAAGGCCUAAAAACUUAAUCAGUUUAUUAGAUUUGCUGCUUAUGUCAUGUGCCUUCGAGUGUCCAUCCUCUACAAUGGUGCAUAUAGUGUCCAUCCUGCUUAUGUCAUGUGCCUUCGCCCUCGUUGUAAUUGCACCCACUAAAACUAAAAAUGGUUUGAAAAAAUACUUCGAAUUUUGAUCCUCACUAUAUUUGACUGAUAUGGAGAUUUUUCAAAAGAAAAUAUGGAAAAAAUCAUUUUCACUUUUUGGCUUCAAGAAUAAAAUGCAUAAUUUCUGUUUUCACCAUUUUCAUUCUUGUUAAAGCGGCUCUCCAUAGGAUGCUUUUAUGUAACUCCUUCCUUUUCAUAUUCAUUCACCUUGGACACAAAUUUAUAAUUUAAUGGAGUAUUUCCGUGACUUUCGAAGGUUGAAGCUUUUUCUAAAGCUAAAUGGAUUUUUCAUUGUCAAUUCGCAGCUCCAGGAAGCUUCAAAGGAAUUUCCUGUUCAAGAUUUUCUUUUCAUUGUCCUUUUUUCCUUUUUCAAUGCGCAGCUCUAGGAAGCUCCCAGAACUUUCCUUUUCAAGAUAUUUCAUUGUCAAUGCGUAGCUCUAGGAAGCUUUAUAGAAUUUUCCUGUUCAUUGUCCUUUAUCCUCUCCAAUCCGGAGCUCCAAGGAGCUUCAAAGAAAUUUCUUGUUCAAGGUUUUUUUUUCAUUGUCCUUUAUGAUGGAAAACAAGUUAGUUAAGAAAUUCUAAUGCUAUUAAAUAAUAAUGAUGGCUAUAUGAAUUCCCUUUAAUUAUCCGAGAAGAAAAACAAAUUGUUAUGUGACUUUAGUAAUUUCCCACUUGCUAACGUGAUUAUCCAGAAAGAAUUGUUUCAAAAGAUUCAUUCUGUUGGGUGAGAUAAAAAAAAAUUCAUUGCUUUUAUUAGCAAACACAAUAUAUAAAUUGACAUAUUGAGAAUGGGAUAUAUAUUAUAAAAAUAGACUCUUGGAGUGACAAAACCUACUACAUGGAGACACUUAAAUGCCAAAAGUUAGGAAAAUGACACUUAAGUGCCAAAAUCGGAGUAAAAUGGAUUAGUUAAGUGCCAACGGCAAAAAGAUUUGGCCAAAUUGCAUACAUAGCAUUUUUUGACAACAUGAUUUACUAAGGUGGCAUAUAUAUUUAAAAAGCACACGUGGACAAUAAAAACGACGUUGCCCCAUCCACGCUGGCUUUGGCAACCUAAACAAUGUCGUUUUUCUUUGGUGCUAAGUGACGUCAUUUAGUAAUUUUUAGGCUUACACUAGAUUAGAUCUAGCCAUCGAUGCUCCUCUCCGUUCACAUUCAUGCUCACACCGACACCCUUCUCUCCGUCGCCGUUCAUGGUCACCGUUCAUGCUCACUAAAGUCGGUCAUUGCUCGUCAUCGCAGCUCACUGUUGUUGCUCACCCAAGUUUGUCCUCUUCUCCCCCUCCCCUAUGGUGAAAUCAGGGUUUAGACUCAUCUAUUAAGGCUCCGAUGGGAAAUUUGGGGCUCGGUUGGGAAAUGUGGGGGUUGGCUGGAAAAUGUAGGGCUCGAAUGGUACUCUAAUGUGCAAUUUAGGGUUCAUAUGUGGUGCUUGAACCCUAAUAGGGGUUUGGAUUGGCAAUUUAAGGGUCAGCCUCAAAAUGUAGAGCUUAACAAGGGGAAAAGUAGGGAUCCUAUGCUACUAUGAUUGUAAUUUAGGGCUCAAAUGUGGUAUUGUAGUGUGCGAGGGCAAUCUCUAGGGGUCGGAUGUGAAAUGUGAUGUGUGAGGACAAUAUUUAAGAUUCGAAUGGUUGUCAUGCGGACCUCUAGUCAUUUUUUAAAAUGAAAGUGUUGAAAUGGGUGUCAUGGGGACCUAUGCUUGUCAUAAGGACCUUUGUUUAUUGGUCAAUAUUUUAAGGGAAGGCAAGAUAAUCAAAGAGAUUGUCGUGGGGGGCAUCUUAUCAAUGUGGGGACCUAUGUUAGUUGUGGGGGACAUCUUUUCAAUGAGUUGUUUGACCUAUGUAUCUCUUCCAUUUUCUUUAAUGAAGUCUAUGAGAGUGUAAAGACCUCCAUGUGCAAUUGUCUAUUGUCCUUUGUUGAUGUGGUCUCAAAAGUUAAUUACUUUUGUUUUUUUUUUUUUCCCUUGGUUGCAUAAAUGGCUUAUGACAAUGAUUAUGUUGCUAUCAUUAUUUGCUACAGCGGAGAUUUUGCAAUUGGGGAGGAUGAGUGGAAGUAUGAGGGGGGAAAUGAUGGCACUAUAUUUGUCGAUAUUAAAAAAAAAACAUAUUAUAGUGGAUUUGUUAGGGAUAUAAUGACGUAUUUGCCAUGUAAAGUACUGAAGUUGAUGUAUUGUGUUCCUAGAAAGGGCUUGAGCGAUGGUUUGAGAAGCUUAGAAGAUGAUAAUGGUUUUAGGGAUGUCCAACACCAUUAUCUUCACGGUAAAAAGAAGAAAGUAUGCGUUGAGUACAAUAGUGACACUAAGGAUGAAGAUGAUAACAGAGAGAGAGCACCCAAGUAGGUGAAGAGGGAGAUGGUAUUCAAGCUAGUACUAAGAUUAAGAAUGAAGGAAGGCAAGAUAGACAAGAUGGGGAGGAGAGGGGCAUAGAUCCGCAAAGUAAUAAUGACAUAGGUGAUAUGACAAUCACUAGAUUAAAUUGGGAAGUAAUUGAAUAUAGUGAUGAAGACGAUGAAGGGUUGCCUAUUGAAAAUUUCUUAAGUGAUGACGACGACAAUGAACUUGCACAGUCAAGGAAAAAACAAAUUGAGUUUUUGGUAGAUAGGUUUGUAGCUUUGUAGGUAACUGAUGAAAUUGUAAAUAAGGCCAAAGGAGUUGGAGAUGCUGGUAUUGCUACUGAGGAGAGUGAUUAUGAAGAAAGCAUCGAGAAUGCUACUUCUCAGGAUGAGCUUGAAAAACAUCAAGGAGCUGUGUGUAAAAGGAAAAGUAAGUUUCCUUCCUAUAAUCUAUCUGUUGCUUCCCCUACUUUAUCAGUAAGUAUGAAAUUCCAAGAUGCGAAGUAAUUUAUAGAAGUUAUGCUGAAAAACUCCAUUGCUGUAUAAAGGAAUAUUGAUUUCUUUAGAAACAUUAAAACCCUUUUAAGAACUAGAAAUUCGCAGCAAAAUUGUCUAUGGAAGAUAUACGACAUGUUUGUUAGGAGGAAUGGGUCCUCUAGAUUAGGGCCUACCAAAAGGAACAUACUUGUUCCAUUAAUUUUGAAAAUAAAAGAGUAACAAGUGCAUGGUUGUCCAAGCACUUCUUCGAUCUGAUCAAGCUAAUGCCCGAGAUGAAGAGUACCGAGUUCAGGAUGUUGGUGAAGGAGCAUAUAAAUAUCAAUGUAUCCAGGAAUCAGUGCAAAAGAUCGAAGCAAAAGGUGAUGAGGAUACUCAUUGGUUAGUACAACAAGGAAUAUGGGUAGAAAAAUGCUUGGAAGUAUAGACUGAAAAAUGCUUCAAGUAGAAUGUAUGUAGAGGUCAUGGAGAGAUCAUUUGCUAAUAGUAAGACCAAGUUCAAUAAGUUCUAUGCAUGCUUCGAUACAUGCAGACAUAGAUUUUUCUCUUGUUGCACAUGGACUAUAGGAUUAGACAACUAUUUCUUGAGGGGCUUGUACAAGAGAGAAUUACUAACUGCAAUUGGAAGAGAUACGAAUAAUCAAAUAUUUCCACUGACUUGGGCUAUUGUGAGGGUAGAGAACAAGGAUAAUUGAUGUUGGUUCCUAAAAUAUAAUGAAUAACCUAGAGAUAACAAAUGAGGAAGAAUGGACGUUCAUGAGCGACCAAUAAAGGGCAAUGUUGUGACGUUUGGAAUUUUCUCUAUAGUUUAUGAUAUUUAGGAUAUAUAAUUAGUAUAGUAACUGUCGGCAAGAACCGACACACUCUUGAAUACGUAUUGAAGAAUUUUCAAACAUUGAAUUUUUACUAAAUUAAUGUUUCCUUAUUGUUCUAUAUCUUUUGUUAAUAAUUUUAGUGGUAUUAAAAUAAUUUUUUGAUUUACCGACGUUUCAAACGAAUACCGAUUUCUUUGAUUAUUUACUGCAAUAUAAUGUAUUUAUCCAAAUGAACAUAAUAUCUCCAUUUUUUUUUAUUAAACCAUGCCAUUUGUCACCGUGACAACUUAGACAAAUGUCUUCAUCUCCACCACUUUUUUUCUUUUUUAAUCCACGUGUCUAAAUUAAAUCCUUUGAAUUUAUCUAUAUGACCUCAUGCAUGACAUAAUCUUAACCCUAGUUUUUUUUUUUUUUUGUCUACAUUUAACCAUAGUUAAUUGGUAGUAUUACCUUUAACCAAGGCUAAUAAAUGUUACUUCAAGCCACUCUUAAAUGUAGAGAAUAACUUUGGAAGACAAUAGAUAAAUGCCUUAUUUCCCCUACGUCCUUGAACGUGCACCUCCAUUUUCUUCACUUCUUCAAGUUCAAGUUUUAUUCACUUUCUAUUUCAAGAUAAGGCUCACACCCUCACUUUCAAUUUAGUGUCUUACAAGGUUUCUUCAUGGAUUUCCUUUUAUUUUUAUCAAAUGAGUUUUGUUAUUUUCUAAAGAAUGACACUUGUUAAAUUAAUAAUUAUUUUGAUUUCAAGGUGAGUAAGGCUUUGUUUGUUGAAGAUUUUACUCAAGGUAAGUGAAAAUCCUAAGGACUAAGUUAGAAUGGUUUACUUAGUACUCUUAAGCUUGGUUGAUUGAUUGUUUGUUUAUUUACUAUAGAUUUUACUCUAUAUGUGUGUAAGUUGCCAUGGUUAAUUGUUGAGCUAUGGUGACUGUUGGAUUUGUAUUAAGAAUGGGUGUUUUGGUAAAUUUUUGACAAAAUAUGGGAUAAUUUCGAAAUUUCCAGAAUGGAGCUAAGGCUACGAACAGGUUUAUUUUAUGAUUUUUAGUUUUAAUAAGUAGGUUUCUAAGUAAGAAUUAACAAGGGAAAUCAAACCGGUUCAAAAAAGUGAUUUUAGAAGCUUUAGGAGUAAAUUUGUAAUUUCACCAAGAUGAGGGACGAAUCUGCAAAAAAUGAAAAUUCUGGGGACUGUUCACAGCUUGUGGAAUCUUAUUAUGAUAGGUGGUAAAGUUAUUUUCAAAGUUAAUUGUUUAAUUUAGAUGAAGUGUAAAUUAUGCAAAAAUUGGAACUAGUUGUACUAAUAAAUCAAAAGUGGGUUGUUUUAAUAGUUUUGUAAAAUAUGUGAUGUGUCUAUAGUAUAAAAAAAUUGUUAGUAUGUCUUAGAUAACAAAAAGUAUAUCUUUUAGUUUUAAUUUAAUUAAUAUGACUUAGUUGGUUGAAAAUAAAAAAUUAUGGGCAAUUUAUAAAAUGAUCAUUUUACUAGGGCAAUAGUCUAGUUUUUAAGAAUUUGGAAUUAUAGAAAAUACUUCUUAUUUUCGUGGAAAAAGUGAGCUUAAUCAAGGGUGAUUUUAUUUUUAAAAUGUAAAUAUAUGAGUUACUUUUAAUUAUUGGAAUAAUAGAGUAUAUUGCUAAAUGGACAUCAAGAAUUAAUAAACUAGUAAAAGUUAUCUACCAAAUGAUUAUGGAUUAGUGAAAAGAAGAAGAAUAUUUAAUUGUUAAAGUGUACGUAAUUAAUCGAUUCUCAUGGUUAUAUGAAAAUGCAAAGAGAGUAAUGUGUUGUCACUUGCAAUUGUGGACACCAAAAAGUAUGUUGCACUUAUUAUGUUAUGAUUAAUUAUGUAUGUCUUUGAUAUUACAUGAUUAAGACCUUUGUCACGGCCUAUUCAUCAUGGAGCAAAUUCCCUUGUAUGAGUAUAUAUGAGACUUUGAAGUGAACCAAAUGUUCUAUCGUAUGAGACGGUUCUAUACAAGGUUGAGAUGACAUGAAAUUUUAUGAUGACAUGGCUCGUGUAGUCAUGGUAUGACAUGGCUUGUGAAGCCAUGGUAUGAUAUUAAUAAAUGGCUAUUAUCAUGCGGAUGUACAAUGAUGUAUUAAUCCUCACUAAUGUAGAGGACACCCGUGAUUGAUAGGCUGAGGCGUGGCCAAUGGGUAUGUAUAAUUCCAUCCCCCAUGAGUUGGCAUUGACGAUGCCUCGUUAGUCGAGAUGCCUCAUGAAUCGAGAUGGUCUUAGCCAGUGACGAAUGAGUUCAUAUGUGUAAGAUAAUGAGAUGUUGUGGUACUUGUAUAUAUUUUUUAUAUCCAUUUGCACAUGUGUGAUCGAUCUUAUGCACUAUUAUGAUUUCCUCAUUGAUAUGUCUUGAUAUGAAAAAUUGUACAUUUAUUCUUGCACUCGUAAUGCAUGGUUGUUUUAUACUGCCUUGAAUUCACGAUUUUUGUUGAUACCAGAUGGAAUGAUAGGUAGAUCUCCUAUCUUCGACUUAAGAAUUUCAUUUACUAAGUCUCGGCUUAUUCAUUUAUUUAUUUUUUCAAACCUGUAGGAUAGCUCUUACGCCACUGCCGCUUUUUGGAGCUCCAGCUCACAUUGAGUAUAGUUAUGAAGAAGUGGUAUUGCCUUAUACGAUUCUUAUGUAUGUUAAGUGUACAACAACAGUCUAGGUCAACGUGGGACUUGCUAAGUGGGUUCCGCAUCAGUAUAUAGCUUGGUACAGGAUCUUUGAUGGCAAUUGGUUGGGACCGCUCAGAGGAUUUGAUAGUCUUGCUGACUACAUUUCCAAUGGACCAUCGAUGGGGGAGGUCAUCGAUCCUUAGAUUUUAGCUUUAGUGUUGUAUAUGCAGGUUUUUGGGUAUAGGAGGAUAAAGUUAAAGUUAGGCAAUCCUACUUCUUCCUAGGUAUUUUGGUAUUUUGUGUAUUGUUUGUCAUACUAUUAUGAGUUGUAAAUAUGAAGUUAAUAUAAUGAAAUAUUAUGUGUAAUAUUUAACUUGUGCGAUGAUCUUUUUGUAUGUUGUAUGGUGUUGUAUUUGUAAUGCUUCCGCUUGCUAUUAAAAAAAAAAAAAAGUACAUGUGUCGCGCGUGACGUUCUGGGACGUCACGACCUGUUUGGUAUCAGGGCAAGUUUACCCAUGAAGUGAUAAUGUGCGCUUAGUGGUUACAGUAGUAAAGUAGACCGUGCAAUUAUAAAAGACCAAAUGCAUGUGUUUGCCCUAGACUGGUUGUGUGGUACAAGAAUAUUUAUUACUAAUUAGUUAGCUACUAAAAUAAUAUUGUAGGUAUUGUAAGACAAGAUGAGCUCUGGUAAUAACUCGGAGGAAGAUCCUCGAAUGGAGGGAAUCCUUCUAGCACUUGCAAAUGUUGAAAGUUUGAUGGAAAAGCAGGCUUUACAACAAGCUGCCUCUAGUUCAGGGAAUGGCAAAUACCGUUUACAAGAUUUGAUUGAACAAUUCUUGAAGGUGAAGCCACCAAGGUUUGUUGGAGUAGGAAACCCUAAAGAGGCAUAAUCGUGGGUCAAUGGGAUGGAGAAAAUAUUUGCAUUACUCAAUUGCAAUGAUAUUGCUAAGGUAGGAAAUGCCAAUCACUGGUGGAGGGCAUCUAAAGGAAUAAUAUUCCAAGCCGAGGCUACUAUGACUUGGAGUGGCUUUGUUAAAGCAUUUUUCAUGAAGUAUUUCUCGAAUUGUGCCCAAGAGAAGAAGAUGAUGGAGUUUAUGCAAUUGAAGCAGAAUGAUCUAAUUGUGGGUUGGUAUGAGGCAAAGUUUGAAAAAUUGUGAAGGUUCGCCCCUAAGUUGGUUGAGGACAAAGAGGACAAAGCUAAGAGAUUUUUGGAUGGUUUGAGACCGAAAAUUAGAAGCACACUAGUGCCUUUAAAUGUCAAUGAUUAUGAGGAGCUCUAUGAGUAUGCACAACUUGUAGGGAAAGAUUUGGCAAAGUUAGCAACGGCAUCAACAUUCCAAGCACUACCUAAUCAUCAGGCAUUUCGAGCUAACUUUCGUCGUAAUAAGAGGCCCGCGCAAAUUGGAAAGCAAACGUGUGGUCCAAAUAAGAGAAAUAAUGCUAGACGAUAGCUUGGAUCCACACAGAACAACCGACAAAUUGGGUGGAUACAACGUCAAAAUAUUGUAUGUUGAUAUUGCGGGAAGCAACAUGGAAGUAAACCAUGCCUGGCUCGGACAAGAGCUUGUUUUAGAUGUGGAUAACAAGGCCAUAUGAUAAGGGAGAGUCCCUUGGUGACGCAACAGCAACAUGGCAUGCCUAUCCAAUAACUUCCAUGGAACAAAGUCCCACAGUAGGGGAAAUAUCUAGAGGGCGCCAGCUCAAGGUCGAGUUUAUGCAAUCACGUAAGAGGAAGCUAAGGCUUCCAAGAUGGUUAUAUCAAGUAUCAUGUGACAAUAAUGCUUAUGCUUUGUUUGAUACUAGUGCCACGCAUUCAUUCAUAUCUGCACGGUUCGUACAAUUGAUUAGAGUAAACCCUGGACCACUUGAAAUAUCCCUUAGUGUGUCUACACCGCUAAGAGAUGCGAUUUUGUCCACGUUGAUAUGUAAGGGUUGUAAGGUUACUAUAGGUGGACAAGAUCACAUGGUAGAUUUAAUUGUGUUGACCAUGUACGAUUUUGAUGUUAUUUUGGAAAUAGAUUGGCUUUGUAAGUAGCGAGCCAAUGUGGAUUGUUAUCAGAAAAUAAUCCAGUUCAAUCCACUUGAUCAUCCUAGUUUUAAAUUCUUUAGAAAUUGGUCAAAUCAUUUAAUGUCACUUGUCUCUACACUUGAGGUACAUCGUCUUCUCAAUGACGGUUGCAAGGGAUAUUUGGCAUUGUUAGAAGAUCAAUCAAAGGAAGUAACAAAACUUGAGGAAAUCCCUGUAGUUCGUAAAUUUCCUGAUGUCUUUCAAAUGAGCUACCGGGGUUAUCGCUGGAGUGUAAAAUUGAAUUUGUUAUUGAACUCACUCUUGGAAUGGAACCUAUUUCCAAAGCUCCCUAUCAAAUGGCUUUAGCAGAGCUGAAAGAGUAAAAGGUGCAGCUACAACAACUGCUUAAUAAGGAUUUUAUUUGACCUAGUGCAUCACCUUGGUGUAUCAAUGUUGUUUGUGAAGAAGAAAGAUGGGUUGAUAUGCCUUUGCAUUAAUUAUCGGCAAUUAAAUCAAGUUACAAUUAAAAAUAAGUACCCAUUGUCACGCCCCGAACCUGAGUACAUGAACAUCCCUCAACGGUCGAUUAAAAAUGUGACGUCCCUAGACGUGUUGCCGACCCAUUCUUUUUAUCUUUCGAUUAUACGCAUGCAUAAGUGACUAAAUUAAACACCCAGACAAUCAACAAUAAUUGGGAUAGUAAAACACAACAAUGAAUUUUUUACAAAAACUAAGAUUUAUUUAUCAACAAGUUAACCCAAGGAGUUUAAUAUAUACAGGCCUACCACAAAAGAAACUUCCAUGUGACCUACAAGCAAAAAAAAGUCAGAAGGUCAAGGUCAACUUUUAGCUGCACAAACUCCCAACACUUGCUCUAGUUCCGAGGCGCAAAGUUGGGCACGUAGUCAGGUGGGUACGGCUCCUUGAGUCCAUCUGGAUUGGAAUUUGGAUCCACAACGACACCAUUAGGGAUGUCGAUAUCCAUGGGGUCACUUGCGGGCCCUUCCACGUGUCCAACGAGCGGUCCAUCAAAACCAUGGAGGGGACCCUCCGUUCACUGUUCACCUCCCUAAUAAACCACUUGAAGUAGUGGGGCACCACAUGGGGCACCACAUGUACAAACCCCUCGUCUACCCAUACGGUCAUAACUACCAGCUCGCAAGUACGGUCAGUCCCAGGGAUAGGAUAUAGAGUAGUCUCUACCUCCAUGUCCCAAGUAACCCCGAAAUGUACAAGGUGACACUCCAUACUACGAACUUGAAAAAUGUUUGACAAUGACGGUGUGAGAUAAAAUCGCAGCGAGUUAAAUCCCUAAGCCUCGAUUAGGACAUGAAUUCGCCUCGAAGGCAACCUAAGCAUGCACCAUACAUAAACUCACCUCGCCUCGGCACGCCCGUGUAUAUUAGCACGUCUUGCUCAACAAUAAUAGUGUAAUGUGCAUAAAUAACAAUCAUAACACAUACUAGAAUUUCAUAUGCAUUGUCAAUACACGUGUUCCAAUUAUUACGACCCCUUGAGCUACAGCCAACACAAGUGUUGGCGGUCUCCCGACAUGACCAGGCAUCGUCCCGCCCCAUCGGGCACGGCAUCAUCUAGGAACCUUGCCUAAACGGCAUUCCAUAAAGGAGUUUCGAUCCGGCCUCAACCGCAACUUGGCAUUCAGACCCCUGCCGCGCAUCCGAUAAAAUCGGGCAUCGCCCCCAAACUCCCAUUGGGUGACUGGUUCAAUUAUGUGACCAUUCAAGCACAUCAUCAAUCAAGCCAACUUUUAUUGUCGUUAUUUAGCCAAGAACACAAUACUUCAUUUUCAAAUAAUAAAUUUGGCAAUACCCCCUUUUUUUUUCUUUAAAACUCCCUGAAAUAAAUUUAUACGGGGUCACGUAUAAAAUUAACUCGUCAAACUUUGCACACUUCUAUUUUAAAACCCAUUAUAUUUAUUGAGCACAUAAAAUUUGGUGUCCAAACCCGACACCUCACAUUUUUCUAUUUAAUUGCCUAUAAAACCGUCUUUUGUAAUAAUAAUCGAAACUUACCAUAGAGCAAUCAACCAUAUAAUAUCGUAUGUGCAAACAAUCAAAAUCACAAUAUUACGCAAAUAGUGAUUAAUUAAAUAAAUUACGAUUAAUAAAGCUGAACGCAAUUAAUUAAUCUAACAUGAUUAAUUAGACUAAUCAAAAUUAUUUACACUAAUCGCAAUUUAAUUUAACCCAAACCAUUGUUAAUCGCAAUUAAAACUUAACUAAGCUUAACUUAGACAAACCCUCAUUAGCACCAAUCUAACCACCCCUAAAUGCAAUUAGCGAUCUAAUCCAAGAUUAGAAAAUCAACUCAUGGGUUUUCGACAGCGGCUAGCUUGUGGCAACGGCGACGCGACAGUGUCAAGAGUGUGACGCUCACAGCUCGAACAGAGGCUCGACGAUGGCCGUGUCAGCCCCUCAAGUUCUCAGCCACCUAGAGUGGCUUGGCUUUAUGGUGGCUGCGGUGGAGGUGAUGGACGGCACGAGCGGGCAGCGGCAAAAUGAUGGUGAUGGGGGCGGUGGGAUGAUGGUGGCGUGGAGGAGCUACUGGCGGAUGUGGUGAUGGACGGUGGAGGUGCUAGUGGUUGGAGCUGGCGGUGGUGGAUACUUGGUGGUUAGAGCUGGCGGUGGUGGUUGCUUGGUGGUGUCGGCGGUGGUGAGGUGGUGAUGGGGAUAAUGCUGGUGGUGGAGGAUGGUGAACAAUUGAAGAAGAUGGUUAUGGGGUGGUGCUGAUAGAUGGGGGGCUGAUGAUGGUGGUGGAAGGGGUGAAAAGAAUAUGAAGGAGGAGGAAGAGUGGAAGAGAAAAGAGAGGAGAUGGAGGGAGGAACCGUCGGCUGCACCAAGAAAAUAAAGGGAAAUGGUGUGGGGGAGGCGAGAAGAGAGAAAUAGAGAAGAGUGGGAGAGAGAGAAAAUGAAUAAAGCAAACAAGAGAUGUAGGAAAAUAUCCCAAAAACCAUCAUCACAUAUGCCUCAAAAGUUUUCUAAUCUUAUCCUUAGUCUCCUAAUUAUCUUCUUUAGCUCUAAUUUCUAAAAAAUAAGACUUUUUGGGCAGCAAAUUCCCAAUUUGCUUAUUCAUCCGAAUUUCAUUUCCUUUUUCUUUUUGUCCGAGAAUCCUUUUUUUGAAAAAAAAAAUUCAGACUGAUCGAAAAUUUGACGAAAGAUGAGACGACAUCCAAUAAUUAAAUUGCGACACGUUCGAAAAUUCGAUACUCGAAAUUGAAUUAAAUUUUGUGGUUAAAAUCGAUCGAACGCGACUUUAGUGUGACAUAAUCUAUUGGGUAGCUUUUAGGGGUUUUCGCGCGUUUAACCCAUGGUCGAUAAUUUUCAACCAACGUUUGUGCAUCUUCAAAUCGUAGGCGACCCUCAGUUGUCAUGUAAUCACGAGGCUUCAAUUACGCAUCCUGAAUAUAAUAUCAAUAGAAAAUCGAUUUAUUAUCAUUCGACACGAAUAUUGUAAUUGGGCAGAAUCACUCGCAAACCAAUUACGUACUUCCGUAAAAUCGAUUUAUAUCAAUUCACUAAUUAAUUUAUACAGCGUAGUAUUGACCAUUAUCGAUCCUUAUGGUCGAGUGGUCGAUUUCCAAUCAAAUUCUCUAGUCUUUCGUGUUUUAACCCUUUAUGGCAUAACCUAAUAAAUUAGUUAACUCGUGAGUGAUCAAUUCAGAGUAAAAUAACCAUAAGCGUGUUGAUGAAAUAACCAUUUAAUAUAUUUUGAAAUAUGACCAAAUUUCGGGAUAUCACAACUCUUCCCAUUGUACAAAAAUUUCGUCCUCGAAAUUUGAACCACUACAAUCCUUCCUAAAAAAGGUGAAGGUGUUGACGUCUCAUCGACUCUUUGCUUUCCCACGUGGCUCUCUUCGUUCUGUGGUGUUGCUAAACCACUUUAACCAAAAGAAUCGUCUUAUUACUUAGCAUUUGCUAUUUUCGAUCGAUUAUCCGAAUUGGUCUCUCCACGUACGACACUCUCUUGUCCACGUCUAUUUACUUGAAAUUCAGCAUGUGGGUUGGAUCAGGUUCAUACUUCCUCAAUAUCGACACGUGAAAGACGUCAUGCACUUGAGCAAGUCUCGAUGGCAACGCAAGACGAUCGCCAAAGUCCCAAUUCACUCCAAAAUUUCAAAGGGGCCAACAUACCUCAGGCUUAGCUUUCAUUUCUUGCUAAAACGUGAAGUACCUCUCAUCAGUGACACUGUGAGGAAUAUAUAUUCACCUACUUGGAACUCCAAUGGUCUACGCCGCUUAUUUGCAUAGCUCUUCUGACAACUCUGGGCAGUCUUGAGCCAUUUUUGAAUGACUUUGACGACGUCAACUAACUACUAAACCAAAAAAAUAGCAAAAACAGAGAUUCACUAAAACAAAUCUCAAACUAAUACAAGACAGAUUGACCUAUGUCUAGAUCUAAGCAAUUUUGAUCUAACCAAUCAUGUCCAAAAAUUUUGAAAAAAAAAAUACAAAAAUGCACAACACUUGUACAAGCAACUUUUAUGAAGAAUAAUUUUUCCAAAAAUCAACACAAAAAUAGCAAAAACAGAGAUCAAUAUGAAACAGAUUGACCGAAGCCUAGAUCUAAGUAGAUCUUACCUAGUUGAACACAUCCAAAAAUCAUUAAAAAAAUUACAAAAGAUGUAUGACAUGAUUUGGAACAAAACUCAUGAAGAAAAUUUUCUCAAAAAAUGAUCAUGAAAGUCGGCACAAAAUAACAAAGUCAGAAGGCGGAACCGGGAAAAAAGAAAAACCUAAACUACUGUAGAAUCGUUAAUCUUUGGAGGUAUUUUUGGAGGGCCAAACGAUGGUCAUUUUGGACAUGCGACAUAUUAUUUCGAAGCUCGGGAUGUCUGCUAUUUAAUCCUAAGAGGACUUGAGUUGAAACGAUGUCGUUUUGGACCUUGUUUUGGCCAAAAUAAUAACCUAUAUACAGGCCUACGAAAAUAAAUAUUAGGCUUAAAUCACAAUCAUUCAAAUCAUUAACAACUCAAUGCAGCAUUUAUACUCAUCAAUCUUAAACAUGUAAAAGCUCAUAAUCUUGAAUCCUAGCCCCGAUCAACUAACUCGAUCUCGCUUCAUUGGAUUCAAGUUUUGAAUUGUUACCUUUUUUGCAAUUUUCGUCGGUUUCUAUCACAAUUAGUCAGAUCAAAUCACCGGAUCAUGAUCAGGACUCCAAGAACGUAAAUCAAGUCACUAUAGCUUGGAUCGGGAUCAAUCGAACCACCGACUCAAGAAAAAAAUAAAGAAUCAGUCCAAGAGAUGAACUAAAACUGAGAGAGAGAGAGAGAGAGAGAGAGAGAGAGAAAAAGAAAGAGAUUGAGCUGUUUGGGUAGGGUUUUGGAGGGAGAAAUGAGAGAGGGAGUCUGAGGAGAGAGAAAAAAUUCAUGCAAAUAAAGCCCCUUCUUUUGAACAUAGAAGAGAUUUCACUUAUAUACUCACACAUUAAGCAAUUUUGGCUGUCGGUUUGACCGUACGACCAAAAUCUCGAUCCAACGGUCAAAAAUCCAUUUUGAAGGCUUGAGGUGUCAUGUAAUUAAUUUAGUGGGUUUGAUUUGCAAAAAAAUCCAUCCAAAAUCAAUAAUUAUGUCAAAAUGUCUAAUUAUGGGUUAAUUUGCAAUUUGACGAAAUUCAAUGACCAAUUUAUAAAUGUUUGGGAAAUUGAAGGUGUAUAAGUGAAAUUGGGAGUGAGAGGAUUCCAAAACCGAUGGCUAGAGGCCUAGAAUCAGUCGGAAAGGGCCUGAACCGACCAAUCCCGCCGGCGGCUAGUCAGACCUGCCGGACCAGUUUGGUCUAGUUCGGCCGGAUUUUGACCAAUGCUUGACCGAUUUGGUCAAAUUCCUGGUGUUUUGUCCACUUGGGACCCUUGUGGGUCAAACAUUUAUGUAAUUUGACCCCUAAAGGACCUAGUUGAAAAGGAAUUUUAUCCCUUUUUAUGAAGAAAUGGACCAAUUAAGAUACAAUUAAGCUAAUCAAACCUUAUGAACAUGAUCUAGGGGUCUAUUAUUGACCUAAUUGAAUGAUGAUCGUUGAAAAAAAUGAGUCGAAACCAUGGGUGCUUUGAAUUGGGCCUAAAGGGCUAAAAUGGUAAAAAAAUAGUAAAAAUUGCAAUUCAAUGGGCAAAAUUACAAAUUAACUAAAAUUAAACUCAAUUAGUGUCACAAUUGCCCUAUCUAAUGAGCUACUCAUAGGUAAGAUCACUAACCACAUUCAAAUUGACCCUAAAUUAAAGUGCUCGAGCUUAGGUCAAAAAUGCAUCUAGGCCUAAUAUUAAAAUUGGAUCUAGAUUUAUGAAAUUAAACCAUAGUCAUGAAUGGGUCAAUUCAAAUUUCAUCAAUUGAAGCUUAAUUGCUUGACUUUAUAAUGCUUGGGAUGAUAAAAAUCUUCAAAUUGAUGAGUUCUUGUGUGAAUUUCACAAAACAAUCUCAAAUUUGGACUUAUCUUAAGAAAAUGAGUGAGAAAUAAUUGUCCGUUCGCAAGUCAUGAAGGAUCGAUUUUGGUCCCCUAAUUAUGGCUUAAAAUGGCAAUUUGUAUUUUAACUCAAUAAAUCGCGAAAUUGAAUGCUCAAACUGAUUUCAAAUAAUCCCUAAACCAAAUGUCAAAGAAAGAACUACACCUAAUUAUGACUAGAAUAAAAUUAAUUUCAUUUUUGGUUGAUUUAAAACCUAAAACUAAAAAAAUUAUAAAUUAAGGUUCUUAAUCGAAUUUUGUGAAUUUUUUUACACAAAAGUCAAAUUGGCAUUAGAAGAAAUAUAUUUGUGCAUUUUUAUUUUUUAUUUUUUUGGGUCAAAUGUUUGACCAAAAGUCAACCAUUUAGGGCGCGCAUAAUAAAAUUUAUAUUUCUCGAUUUCUCUGUUUCUCUGUUACCCGGAACAGGUUUGGAAUAGAAAUCCGUUUGGUAACACAAUUUGAUUUUUCUAUUUCUGAAACAGAUUUCUAUUCUAAAAAUAGAUAAAUUGAAGAAAUCAGAAGCUGAAAUUUUUAACUUCUCAGUUUCUGAUUUCAGAAAUUGAAAUCAAACCAUAUAAAAGAACCUUAUGCUUUCUUGCUAACUUAAUUCACUUAUAACCAUAACUUCACAAAUUAUUGUUAAUUUCUUUUUCUUAUUUUGCUUGUGUUUUUUUUUUUUUGCAUUUUUUUUUCAAUUUUUUUUUUUAUAACUUCCUCUUUAGGAUGAAAGGCAAUUGAAUGGGUCCUCAAUUUUCAAAAAUGACCAAAGUUCUUAAAUGCUUACUUAAAAACAAUGGGGCUCUUUCCUCCUAGAAAAGGCAUAUGACCAGUUGAAGAAAAAGUUCUUACGUAAUAGAUGAAUAAAAAAAGUGCCUAGAAAUUUAACCUUAUUUUUUUAAGGAUUCAAAAUUCUUGCAAAAUCAAAAUAAUUAGAUUGUUACACAAUCUUGAAUUUUAAUUCGAAGGCAAGAGAUUCAAGAGCUCUCUUUGCUAUGCAAGAGCCAUUAAAGGUUCAUUGAGCAACAAUAAAGAAAUUAGGGAUGAGCAACUGAACUGAUUCAAUUCGAGAAUCAAAAUAAAUUUACAUUCCCCCGAUUGGUUCCUAACCAUAAAUGUUACUUUAAGGUAGAAUUCUUUAUAUUCCUUUACAUUAUUAAAUUUAUUUUGUUGAUAAUCUUGUAUAAUACUAGUUUUUUAUAAAAUGACAAUGUUAUAUAGGAGGCCAUUGAUGGCACCUAUAUUCAUGCUUCCACAAUACUUGUUUGAACUUACGCAGGAUGAGCUUGCAAACAAUACAUUGACCGAGGAGGGAAACCAAAUAAAUACGCUUAGGAAAACAAUUGCUAAUAAAAUGGCAAUGGAUAACAAUAUGCCGGAAAUUCCAUGAAUUUUUUUUUCAACUUUUGUAAUGUAUUAGUAUUAUUUCAACUAUUAUUUUAUAUUUGAGGAUUUCCUAUGUUGUUUUAGUAUUAUUUUGACUAUUAUUUUGUAUUUGAGGUUUUCGUAUGUUGUUAUCUAAUCAAUUUAUAUUCCUGGAAAUAGAAAUUUUGAGUCGUUAUCAAACGGGUUUCUUUGCUCAGAAACUUAUCCGGGGAAUAGAAAUUAAGAAAUUGAUUUUUGGCCAGAAAUCAAUUUAUGUUUUAGAAAUUUUGUCAUGCGCAGCCUUAGUUGACUUUUCCUAAAAUGUUGAUUUUUUUUAUCAAAUUUUUGAAUUUUCAAGAAAUUGAUUUGAAAAAAGUGAAAUAAAAGCUAAGUAGAAUUUUUUUUUUGGGGCAAAAAGUCAAUUUUUGACCCGGGGUUGACUUUUGGUCAAGGGUUGACCAAAAAGUCAACCUAAAGUCAAUGGUUUGACUUUUCGGGUUUUUCAUGAAAACAAGCUAAAAACUGCUUAAAAACGACAAUGUAAAAGAAAGAAAUGAAAAACGACAUUUUUUUUGUCGAGAGAUACGGUUUCGUCUCGAUCAGAAACUUAAAUCUUGAUUUUUUAUGUUUUAAUGAUAUGUAAACUAAAAAUUAGGUGUCAACAAUGCCAGACAAGCAAUAGGUUUUGCAUUGCCACUGCUGCCACCCCAUUAUCGUUGGAAAGGGCCUAGGUUGCUAGGCCCUAGCCAGUGGCCAUCGACCCUGGCAAACCGUAGGUAAGGGCCUGCAAGCCCUUGCCCAAAACUGGUGUGAGGACUAGUUGGCCCUCUCGUAGAGGCAACCCUCACCUGGAGGGGCCAAGGGCUCCCAAAACUACGUGCUACUUUUUUCUUUUGGUUUUUUCCAAUUUAAUUUAAUUAAUAUUUAUAUUAAAAUUCAAAUUUGAAGGCACAAGCUAGCCACAUUAGUGCCACGUGAAUUUCCAACGAGCUACAUAGAUCGGUUUUAUUUUUAAAAUAAUGCCACAUCGGGUUUCUAACUAGCCUCGUCAGACUUCGCAAUUAAGUAUCCAAUUUUUUUUUUAAGUGAUACUUAAAUGUACCUUUUUGAAAAUUUUGGCACUUAAAUGUCUACCCAUACUAAGUUUUGACACUUGUGAUGUACUAUUGCUUGAAAAAGCCAAAGAGGAGUCAUGCUCGGAGAGGAAGGGUUUCUUUUCAUUCACUAGGUCCAAGUCUCACCAUGUUUGGAUAUGCCAAUUUCCAUUUUAGGGUUUCAUAGAUUCCUGAUCUAGUUCUUCAGUUCUUAAUUCCUAGUCCAGUUCGAUUCGAUUCUUGCUCGAGAAUCAAACUGCAUAAUACAUGUUUAAAACAAUAAGGAAUUAGGAAUUGGACCGAGUCAUCCAAAACUUGGAAUUAGAACGAUCCCCUAGUUCUCUAAUUCUCUCUUCUACCAUUAAAUUAUGCUCACUUCUAAUCUCAACAUACAUUGCCAUUUUCUAUUAUGUGCAUUGAUUCUAGACUUAGCAUCAUCAUAACUCUUUGGAUCAUUUACUAAAUUAAUCCCGUUAGUGGUCCAAAGACUUUUCUUAUUCUUUCUAUUGUUAAAUACUAUACAUACUUUGCCAACUAAAUUUGCUUUAUAAGUUCAUGUGGCAAAUUCCUCUUGAGUGAUUAGAUGCUUAAAAAACUUUUGAAUUCUAACAUUAGAAAUCAAGUUCUAAACAGCAAUAAACUAAUAGAUAAGAGCUAAAAGACAAGAUAACUACUAGAUAAUUUAAAACUGUCAGAAAAUAAAUUGAACUAACCGAUAAUUUAUUUUUUUUGUUGAGGAAUUUGAAAUAUACCUUGACAGCUAAUUAUAGGGAAAAUUACCAAAAAAAUAAUAAUCAUGGCCAAUUUUGUCCUAUACCUUUAAGAGAAUUUGAAGUGUUCAGCAUUAAGAUAAUAAACAAAACUACAAUAUGGUCUACAAUAGAUCUAUCAAAUUGGUAGAUCAGGUUAGGUUGAAAAAUUAUUUGACCCAAAAUGACCUAUUUAAUUUUCUUUUUACUAAUUUCUAUACAUUAUUAAAACACUUCUAUAGUUAAUCCAAUCUAGAAAAACUCGUACUUAAACUAAGAUGAGAACAUGAAGUGAGCGAGCGUGAGAUCAAGUAAAAGACAAGAAAGUAAAGAGAGGGGGUAAGUAUACUAUCAGUGCCAAAACUUGUGUAUGGUGCUCAUUUUGAUGCCAAAAGUUUCAAUCGGAUCACUUAAGUGCCAAAACUUUUGAAAAACGAUCAUUUCAAUGCAAACGCUAAUUUGGUUGGCCGGAAAUCUGACAUGGCACUUUUUUAUUAAUUUUUGAAGCUAAUGUGGCUCGCCGGAGAGUACAAUCAACAUUUAAACAACAAAAUGACGUUGUUUGGUGUCUCUCCCCCAAUUCAAAACCCUAAACCCUAAAUUUUCCGGAUAAUCUCGGCCACCGUUGCUCUCUUCAUCCUCUUCUCCUCCCUUACUGUCCUCUCUGUCGCCGGCCAUGGUGCCACUAAGCACCGCCACCUCCUCUACUGCCUCGACGAGUUCAGCGAUCGUGACGAGCAAGUCACCGUCAAACCCUCCACCUCCUUCGAGAACCCACGCCUCCGCAAUGCCUACGUUGCCCUCCAGGCCCUGAAGCAGGCCAUCCUCUCUAACCCCAACAACUUCAUCGCCAACCGGGUCGGCCCUAACGUCUACGGCUACUCCAAUGUCUUCUGCUCCCCCUCCCCCGAUGACCCCCGGCGUCUACAUCGUCGCUGGCGUCGACCUCAACCUAGCGACAUCACUGGGUACCUCCCCAAGGAGCUCGGCCUGCUCGCCGACCUCGCGCUCUUCCACCUCAACUCCAACCGCUUCUGUGGCAACAUGCUGCAGAAGUUUCGGAACUUGAAGCGACUCUUUGAGCUGGAUCUGAGCAACAACCGUUUCACGGGAAGUUCCCGAGGGUCAUGCUGGAGUUCGACGGGUCGAUCCCGCGGGAGCUCUUCAACAAGGAUCUAGACGCUAUUUUCAUCAAUGACAACCGGUUCUGGUUCAACCUGCCGAAUAAUCUCGGCCACUCCCUGGUGUUGUUUUAAACAUUAUGAUGGUUUUCCCUCCUCCUCCCCCUUCAAUUGCCCACAUCCCUCGCCUCCGUUUUCACCAGCGAUGGGCCAGUUGCCGUCCUCGACAGCCCCCGCGCUUGGCAACUGCAGCUUCGACCCCAACCUCAACCUCAACGACGGCCACUUGGUGGCCAAGUCGAAGGCCGUGGUCUUACUCAAGUGCGAACCUCACAUUGCCUAGAGAUGGCGACCGACCGAGCUAGGUUGGCGUUAGACGAGAAUCGGACAAAAAACCCUAAUUUCAAUCCCUAAAAAAAAAAAAAUCCCCUAGUGAGUUGUGCGGCGACGUUUUUGUGAGGCCAUUCACUUAGGAUGGCAAAACAACUUCGUUUUCUUAAAGAGGACGGAAAACGACGUCGUUUAAAAGCCAUGUAAAAUUUUUUAAAAAAAUAUAAAUGUCACGUAAUCAUUUUGGCCGGAAUCUAUCGCCGAUGGCACCAAAAUGAUCAUUUUUCCUCCGAUUUGGCACUUAAGUGAUCCGAUUGAAACUUUUGGCACCAAAGUGAAUGCCGUACACAAGUUUUGGCACUGAUAGCGUACUUACCCCGUAAAGAGAGAAUCAUAGAGGUGGAUUGAGUUUAAAUAGGUCGUGAACUAGUAUUACACUAUAGACCUUAUCAUUCUAAACUCAUUCAUGAAUAUAACUAACCUAUAUUACAACUCAACCCAUCAAAUAUAAGUUGAUCCAUUUUGAUAGAUCUAAUUGAUGGCUAAGAUUAUGAUUAUUUAGAUGCUUGCCAUCAUCAAAUCAAGAUGGUGAUCACUUUGAAGAUAACCGUCGGCCCUAUUCCUUUCUCAAUUGGAUUCUUUCUCUCCUACUUGGAUAUGAGAAAUUUUAUCUGACCCAACACCAUAACUUUUAUUUCGAUCUAUAUUCACAUUAAGUCUGCAUUUAUUAUGGUGUGAUAAUUAAGGACUUGAUGCAAUCAUUUAUAUUUUCUAAUCAAAUAAAGUCUUCUUCUUUAUGUGUCCAUAUAAUCAACAAAAUCAAAAUAGAAAUUUCAUGCCCGUUGCUUCCGACUUUCACCUUGCAAUUCCUUCAAAUCACAUGGGCCCGACCAUUGGCCUUAACCUCCAAGGCCAAACCCAAAAGAAAAAUUGUUGAACCUAAGUAGGCCCAUUAGGCAUGGGCUUGACUAGGCCUAAACCAUAAAUAUGCAAUACAGCCUGUCAUCUCACAAGGCUAUGCUUAGGUAUGGGCCGAACAACUAGACUUGCCCCUAAAGGCCCAAUCCCAAAAAUAAAAAAAAAAUAAAAUAUAAAAUUAUUUGACCUAGAUUGGUCCAUGGGUCUGGUCAAGCCUAGGCACAAUGCAUGACACAGCCUGCCAUCUAAUGGGUAAUGCCCUAUCAUGAGACACGGCCUAUUACUUAUCCCUAUCCAUAAGAAAAUAAGUUGGAUCCACGUAAAUUCAUUCAUUCAAGACAAAUUUACUUCAUAUCCCUUCGCAUUUCAUUAACACUACCAAUCAACAAAAUGCUCGAACACAGAACGCUCCAGACAAAAAGACAAUGAUGACAUGUCAAAGUAGAUUUUCCAUGAAUUUAUGAUCUUGAAAAUUGUAAUAUGUACGGACACUAUGGAUCGCUCUAGGGAUUGUGAUAACCCAAUUCGUUGAUCAAAAUCAAUAAUAUCCUUAUUGAAGAAAACUUCAGCUACACACUACAACUUCCCUUGACAUUCAGUAGCAACCGAUCCGGAGACAUAGGCAGCCUUGCUGCGAAGCCAGGGACUCCUCAUCCAUCCUCAAAGUUGAGCGCAUAGCUCAUCAUAUCAUACCCAAACUCUAAGGUUGUGAUGUGGCCUUGCUUUUGGCACCUCUUGAUCCGAGUGACGAGGCUUCGGAGGUUGUAUUGGAUCUCCGAUAGUGGGAGCUCUCGAGCCGUGGAGUAGAGCCGCAAGCAAGGCGACUGGGCCGCCCCAUGGUAGCAGCCAUCAUUGUCACCGUCAUUAUUGUAGUUUGAGGAGGCGGCCUCAUUAUGGAUAGUGGCGUCUAGAAAGCAGCAGAAGUGGAGGCGCAGGGAGGAUGAUUUGAGCUCGUGAUUGAACAACAUUGGGUUGUGUGGAGAGAGAAAGAGGGGAGAGGGAGUCGCGGGGGGGGGGGGAGGGAGGAUGAGGUGGCGGGUUUUUAUAGGGUGGACGGGAUAAGGAGGAAGGGGAAAGUGGGGUGGGGGGGGGGGACAUGGUGUUUUGAGUGAAUCCCUCUAUGAUGUUUCGUCUUGUUUUUGCCUAACUGCAUUUUUUAUGUAAUUUGGUAACUAUGCAAAAGUUGAGGGAUCAUGUAGCUGCUCAUUUUUCCUUCUCUACACCGCGUUAUUUCCUCCCCUUAAAUGUUUAAAUCUAACUUAUUGCUAUUAGAAAAAAAAAAUCGCCCCUAAUCAUUCAAUUACAUUUUAUAAGUGGUGGCCCCCAAAUUUUGCUUUCCUUUCCUUUUAACUUUGCUGUUUUUAUGUAGGAUUUUGUUACCAUAGAGACAAAGCUUCCAUGUAUAUUAGGGGUACACUUUUUUAAUUGUUAGAUUUUAUUUCCAUAAAAAUUAGUUUUGUCGAAAAGAGAAAUCCCUAAAAAAAAUUAUUUCCUUUCUACGUUGUUGCUCAAAUUUAUGAAUAAAUUGUCUAGUAAAAUCUAGAAAUAAAUUAAGGGUGGCAUUAUUUUCACUCUCUAAAAAACUUAACCCACCUACACUAAAAAGAAAAAAUUGUCCUCAAUUUUUCAAUUGCAGUUUUAGAUGAUGGCUUAUUUCGCCUUGUGUCUAUUUCACCUUAGGUGGUUGGUUCACAAGUACAACCUUUGUAACUUCAUGGUAUACCCAUGGAUUGGCCAGUUCCUAUUUGGAAGGAUGCAACUUCUUAACUGCCUCUAUUUCUACUCCUGCUAAUAGUUUAGCACAUUCUUUGUUGUUACUAUGGGGUCCUAAGGUACAAGGAGAUUUUACUCGUUGGUGUCAAUUAGGCAGUUUGUGGACUUUUGUGGCUCUCCAAGCACUUUCAGACUAAUAGAUUUCAUGUUACCCCAAUUUGAACUUGCUCGAUCUGUUCAAUUGCAACCUUAUAAUGCAAUCGCAUUCUCUAGUCCAAUUGUUGUUUUUGUUUCUGUAUUCCUAAUUUAUCCACUAGGUUAGUCUAAUUGGUUCUUUGCGCCUAGUUUUGGUGUAGCAGCUAUAUUUCGCAUCAUUCUUUUUUUUCCAGGGGUUUCAUAAUUGGACAUUAAACCCAUUUCAUAUGAUGGGAGUUGCCGAUGUGUUGGGCGCUGCUCUCCUAUGUGCUAUUCAUGGUGCUACCGUAGAAAAUACUUUAUUUGAAGAUGGUGAUGGUGCAAAUACAUUCCAUGCUUUUAACCCCAACUCAAGCUGAAGAAACUUAUUAAUGGUCACCGCUAAUCGCUUUUGGUCCCAAAUCUUUGGGUUGAUUUUUCCAAUAAACGUUGGUUACAUUUCUUUAUGUUAUUUGUACUAGUAAUUGGUUUAUGGAUGAGUGCUCUUGGAGUAGUCGGUCUAGCUCUGAACCUACAUGCAGCAGAAGAUCCUGAAUUUGAAACUUUCUACACCAAAAGUAUUAUCUUAAAUGAAGGUAUUCGUGCUUGGAUGGUGGCUCAAGAUUAGCCUCAUGAAAACUUUAUAUUCCCUGAGGAGGUUCUACCCUGUGGAAACGCUCUUUAAUGGAACUUUAGCUUUAGCUAGUUGUGAGAAACCACCGGUUUCGCUUGGUGGGCCGAGAACGCACGACUUAUCAAUUUAUCUGGUAAACUGUUGGGGGCUCAUGUAGCCCGUGCCGUAUUAAUCGUAUUCUAGGUUGGAGCAAUGAACCUAUUUGAAGUGGCUCAUUUUGUACCAAAAAAGCCCAUAUAUGAACAAGGAUUAAUUUUACUUCCCCACUUAGCUACUCUAGGUUGGGGGGUAGGUCCGGGUGGGGAAGUUAUAGACAUCUUUCCAUAUUUUGUAUCCGGAGUACUUCACUUAACUUCGUCUGCAGUAUUAGGCUUUGGCAGUAUUUAUCAUGCACUUCUGGGCCUUGAGACUCUUGAAGAAUCUUUUCUAUUCUUUGGUUAUGUAUGGAAAGAUAGAAAUAAAAUGACCGCAAUUUUGGGUAUUCACUUAAUCUUGUUAGGUAUAGGUGCUUUUCUUCUAGUAUUCAAGGCUCUUUAUUUUGGAGGCGUAUAUGAUACCUGGGCUCCAGGAGGGGGAGAUGUAAGAAAAAUUAUCAACUUGACCCUUAGCCCAAGUGUUAUAUUUGGUUAUUUACUAAAAUCAUUUUUUUGAGGAGAAUGAUUGAUUGUUAGUGUGGACGAUUUGGAAGAAAAAAUUGGAGGGCAUGUAUGGUUAGGUUCCAUUUGUAUACUUGGCGGAAUCUAGCGUAUCUUAACCAAACCUUUUGCAUGGAAUUGUCGAGCACUUGUAUGGUCUGGGGAGGCUUACUUGUCUUAUAGUUUAGCUACUUUAUCUAUUUUUGGUUUCAUUGCUUGUUGCUUUGUCAGGUUCAAUAAUAUCGCUUAUCCUAGUGAAUUUUACGGGCCUACUGGGUCAAUAGCUUCUCAUGCUCAGGCAUUUACUUCUCUAGUUAGAGACCAACGUCUUGGGGCUAACAUGGGAUCCACUCAAGGACCUACUAGUUUAGGUAAUUACCUAAUGUGUUCCCCGACUGGAGAAGUAAUCUUUGGAGGGGAAACUGGGAUCUACGUGCUCCUUGGUUAGAAUCUCUAAGGGGUCUAACUUCUUCUUUUUUCUAUUUUUUUUCUUUUUCUAUCUUGGAUAGUUGCCAUAAUUAAAAAUUUCACAUGUUUUGUUUUUUAGAUUAGAUAUUCCUAUAUUGUUUUACAUGCUCCGUGUAAAAUUAUCUUGCUAAUAGUAAUGAAAAAAGAAGAAGCAUUAUUUGAUAUGGUAUAAAAUUGAAAAGUAGCAAGGAAAAAAAACAUUAUUUGAUAUAGUAUAAAAUUGAAAAGUCUCUUCUUCAUUAUUGAUCUUAUAACAACUUAUCUAUUUCUUUUGUUCCUUUUAUAUCAAAAACUCACUUUCUUGAUGAAAUUUUUAUUAAUUUCAUUAGUAUAAAAAAUAUGUCAGCUCUCUUAUUUACUAUAUCAAAGUACUUAUAUUUUUUCCUGACUAUAUUGGCGAGAUACCCUUAUAUAUAAUGAGGCAUCUAAAUAAUUUUUCAUAAACAGUUUAUUGAUGAUAUUAAUUUCUAUCAAUCUAAAAUAAAGAAAUUUCACUGGUAUUUUCAAAAAAAAAAAAUCUUACUUUAUGCAAUGUUUUGAUUUAAUUAAAUUUUUUACUUAACAAUUUAUCCACAAAUUUAAUUGACAAUAUAGAAAAGAAAUAGAUUUCUUGGAAAUUUCUCUUUUUGACACAAUUUUUUUUUAUUGAAGUAAUUUCUAACAAUAAAAGAAGCCAAUAGUGCCUCUAAUAUAUAUGGAAAAUCUACAAUAAACAAAAAUUAAACAUGUGCAAUUCUUAAUUAUGGUAGGUAGAUCCUCCAUAAGUAUAGAAAAACUUGUAAUUAAAUGAUAGAGGGUAAUUUUGUUAUUUUGGUGAAAAUUGGGUGAAUUUUAAACUCUCUCUCUCUUUCUCUCUCUCUCACACACAUAGUGGAAUGAUCAGAUGAAGCCAAAAAGAAAAAUUCUUUGAUGAUUAUUCAAAAUAAAAUCACAAUUAUGUUCUCUAACAUAAAACAUGUCGGGCCAAUAUACAAUUCACAAAAUAAACCAAACUAAGGACAUGUUUGCUAAUUUUUCUGUUUUCAGGCAUAAUUUCAUUUCAAAAUCUAUUUCAGAGACUGUUAAUUGCUCAACUUGUGGAACAAAAUAAACCAAACUAAUGAUCAGAUCAACCAUCCAGACAAAAGGCGAAAGCAAAGCGAAGACGACGAAAACAUAUCGAAGCAGAUCUUCCAUAAAAUUGAGAUCUCGAAGUUCUACAAAUAUGUACAGACACUGCGAAUUGCUCUAGAGACUGUUGAUAUAAGCCCAACUUAGUGGAUCAAAAUUCCGGAGGAAAACAACUUCAACAACAAGCUACGACUUCCCUCGGUAACCUCGCCGGCAUCAACCGAUCCGGAGACACCGGCAGCCGCGCCGAGAAGUUCCUCAUUGAGAACUCCUCGUCUGACUCUCGGCUCAAAUCGUCAUCGAAGUUUAGCGCGUAGUUCAUCGGGUCAUACCCGAACUCCGAGGAGGCCGCCGCCGCCGCGUGGCCCGGCCUCCACCGGCACCUCCCGAUCCGAGCGAUGAGGCUGCGGCACCUGUACCGGAUCUCCGGCAGCAGGAGCUCCUGGGCCGUCGAGCGGACCUUGCGUGGGUGGCCGUCGUCACAGUCCGAGGAGGCGGCCUCGUGGUAGGCAGCGGCAUGGCCGCCGUCGUGGAAGCAUGAGAAGAGGAGGGACGGGGAGGAUGAUCAGAGCUUGUGAUGGAAGAGCAUUUCGACGGCGAGAGCGAUGGGACUCGGAUUCUUGGUCUGGUCUGUGCAAGGCCGUGAAGACAGCGGAGAGAGUGGAUGGAGAUGAGGAAGAAGAUGGAGAAGAGGAUGAGGUGGAGGGUUUAUUUAUAGGUCGGGCGGAAGAGGACGGAGGCGUGCGGCGG
rnacentral:lncRNA from 1 species